UUUUUUUUUUUUUUUUUUUGUAGCAGAGAGUUUUCUGACAAACCAAAUCUUGUGUUUUAGGUUGCUUAAAGCUCUUGGAGCUCCAAAAAGUGCAAGAAUAUAUUGGGCUGGCGGGCAGCCUUUUGGUGGAAAAGAAGCCUUACUACCGUUAAUUGAAGAAUUUCCCCAUUUUUACAAUAAGGAAGAUCUUGCUUUGCCUGGUGAACUAGAACCUUUUGCAAACAGAGCUUCUGUCAUGGCUGCCAUUGAUUAUAUAGUUUCCGAGAAUAGUGAUGUCUUCAUGCCUUCUCAUGGGGGAAAUAUGGGCCAUGUUAUGCAGGUAUAGUUAUUCGUUUUUGUUUUAGUAAAUGUAUAUACUAUAUGCUAGAUAAAACAAUUAACAAAUAUGAUCAAAAUACAUCAAGUUAACCAGUAAUGCUUAGAUAAAUGCACAAAAUGCUCAAAAUAAAUCUAGUGAAACAAAUGAAAUGCUUGGAUAAAUGCACAACUGAUCUCACAUUGUCAACUGAUCUGAAAUAUGAGCGAUGUGUCAUUGAGGCCUUUCCAAUUUGGAGCAAUAAAAAGAAAUAUGUGUUGAGAAAAUAUGCAUGGAAGACGAACAAUAUGAAAUUAUCAUACUAAUAGUUCUUUUACAUAGUUUGCUUAUCUAAAUUGAUGGAGACUUCACUUACACCAAGUUUUGUAUUCUCUUUCAGGGACAUCGUGCCUAUGCUGGCCACAAGAAGUAUAUAACCCCAGACAAGAGGCAUAUGCUUCCGUACUUUCUGAACUCUUCUCUCCCUGAAGCAGAGUUCAAUAGGAUCAUAAAGGAAUUGCACAGAGAUUCCUUAGGACAGCCAGACCUCAGGAGUAGUAGAGUUGGAAAAGAUGUCACAAAGUACCCCGUUCCGGAGUGCAUGUGCAAUGAUACUAAUACUCAUUCGUACAUGUGAGUCACUGCUGAAGAUUUCGAGCACAAUGCUAACUCUGCAAUGGACCACCUAAUCGAAAAAUUUGAAUUUCUCAGCAAAUCCCUUGAAUUUGAGCCUUCUGAAAAGUGGUUUGUUCUCCAGUGCAAUGAUGGUUCUUUGGAUGGACGGUGAUUUUAAGAGCAACCGCAGCAUCACACUCAUUUUGUGAGUUUGCUCACAUUGUUUCUUCUACACUCCUUCCUUGGUGUACAAAUUCAAGUGAGGCAAGACAAAUGUCUGCUUAUAAGACAACAUCGUAUAAGGUUCUGUGGAGAGAAACUCUGAAGCUUCACUGUCACCUGGAUUCACUUCCGGACUUUCAUGAGCAACUCAGCAGAAGGCGAAGGUCCCCUAAUUCUUUAAUUCUUUGUAGGAAGAAUUCUUUUAGGAUAGAUUUUCCACAUUUUGGUUCAUUCAUUUAUUGUACCACGUCGAUGUAUAAUAUAGACAUACGUGUAUAUAAGCAUACUUCAAGUAAUAAGCUAUAUAUCUGUUUCACAAGCUCACAUCAUGUUGCUGUUGACAUAUUUUCCGGCUCUGCAUACGGAAGUUGCAGCAGCGUCAGUUAGCGCUGAAAUUUGUAACUUUCAUGUAAUGAUCUCUGUACUUUGAAACAAAGAAACAAGUUACACUCUGGACCUUAACCUUUCCCAUUAGUGAUCUGAUAUUACUUGUUCCAAUCCGCAAAUUAUCUGAUGUUACUAGUUCGAGUUGGGUGGAAUCAUGGAACAGUUUUCAUCAGAACUUUAAGCACCCCGUAUUAUUGAUUUAUUAAGGGCCAAAUAGAAUACAUAAAGAGUUUUUACAACAUCAACCUAAAAUCUAGACAGAGAUGCUGUUUGGAACACCGAUUCCUCAUCAUCAAAUUUAGAUAGAGAUGCUGUUUGGAACUCCCAUUCCUGUGACACCGGAGGUUGAGAAUGGCUUCAAAAGCUCGUAUGGAACAACGCCUGCUCCAACUCUGUUUUUCAGUUUCAUAUUGGUAUUUCUCUCAUCAAUAAUUCCUUCUAGCCUCUUCAAAUUGCCACUGAAUCUCUCAUAUGCGGCCUUUAUAACAGGAUUUUCAGCCCAAGCUGGCUCUAGACUAUCACCAAUAUACUCCUCAUCGGGUGAAUGAUUCGAUAGUACAUCUAUCACGGCCAUCACUGUUGUUGCUUGAAUCUGUGAGGGGAAGCACAUCAGCAGAGCCAUUUCUGGUUUCUUCAUGAAGUUCUGGAAAAACUCGUCAGAUGGAUCUUCAGUUGGCAUGUUGGUUCGAGCAAUUGUAGGGUGGUUAGGGAAAUAUCCGGCAAACGUGUACUGACCAAAGUUCACUGCUGAAUGAUGACCAGCGGUUACCCAAAUGAUAGUAGUCAAAGCGUGAAUCAGACUUUCCGUGGUUUUCAAAACAGGCCACCAUGGCUCAUCUUUCUUGUCUGCAUGACCUUUGGUUCUAACAUCUGUCCACCAACCUUGAAGCUCCGUAUCAGACUCAAUAAGAUUUGGGUCUGGAUAGUAAUGGUUCACAUAAGCACUCACCCACUCCUUAAUGGCGUCCCACAGAAUGAGACCAUCAUUUGCAAAUGGGUAGUCUUCAAUUGUUAGCUUCAAGCCAUGCUCAGAUGUAGGAUCCUUAACUGCCAUUCCCCUGAAAUCCAAUCAACCAAAUAUGAACAAGCAAUUCAAAUUCUGUGGGAUUUUCAGUGAAGUUUUCUUUGUAAAAAUUGAAAAUCUUCUUUGUAUAAAGUUUCCUGCAUCAAAUAGUUUGGAUUAGUCUUAUGCUAGUUUUAUCAAGUAUAAUACCUUCUGAUGAGAUCUUCUGGCAAAGCUUCCAUGUCAAAGCGCCAAAGCUGGUCGUAAGCAACAGAACUGAACUCCGUGCAGUACUUUCCAAGUGAAAAGUUGCUCUCAAUGAUUCCAUCUGCAUUGAUGAGGCUUUCUCGAGCCAGAGCAUUGAUUGCCAUUGUAUAUCGCAAAUGAGGGUGCAGAAGUCUGUAGAUGGGAUUCAUUGCGCGUAAUUGUCGAUUAGCUGCAAUUAUGUAAGGCUCUGUACUGCAAUGAGUCCUCAGCCUGUGAAAAUAUAAAAGUACAAACAAGUUAUUAUCCAUGACUUAGUCUCAUAGUUCCCAAUUGCCACAGCUACAAUAACCGAAGUUGCACACUUGAGCAGGAGGCAUGAUGUGAAGUUCCACAUUCGUGGUUUCCUAAUUGCUACAGCUUAAAUGCCAUUUACACGACUAGUUUGGUAGCUCAAUGCCAAUAUAAAAAGGGAUUUGAGCCAUCUUGGGUACGCGUUUCUUACCAGUGCACGACAAGCUGAUGAUUGGCAGAGUCAUGAGCAAGAACGUGGACUUUAGCAAGAAUCCACAGCCAAUGACCGGUGGCAUCCCAGGUUGGAGUAAAGACUUGCUUCCAUUGUGGCUUGUCAGCAACAGGCGGUCGAGUGAGUUCAAUGGCAAUAGGCCUCAGUGUCCCAUCUUCAGUGAGGAAGAAUAGUGUACGAGAACCAUACAGUGUGGUACCUUCAAUCUCUCUUACUUUGUUUAUGUAAGGCAUGAGCAGGUCAUGGUAAUCCAAAAUAAACAUCUUUUUUUCCUUCCAAGGCCUACAUUUCAUGUUCAAGCAAUUUUGCAUAACCUGGUUGCAUGUUAAAGAGAUUGGGGUGUGUUUAUUAUAUCUCAUUGACAGUCAUACAACCUUUGAUCGCCUUCUCAACCACUUCUGUUGUGAUCAAUGAUUCAGGGGAUCCAUAAAUCUCGGGGUCAAGUUUACUAUUCAAUUGCCAUUCCUGCAUCAGGAAAUUACAGAAUUUAUUGCCACUAGAGGAAAAAAUAGAGUUUAACCAGCUAAAACAAGAUACGCUUGUAACUCUUUAAUUACUUGAUCACCAAGGAAGAUGGCGACCUCGGGUGAUAAAUGGAAUAUACAAAUUUGAAUUUCUUGAUUGAAGUGAAGGAGUUCUACUUGUAUCAGCAAAAUAAUAAAGAAAGCAUACCGUCACUAUCUCGAUACUACAUGGAUUAAGACCAGCUAGAGUUUGCCUGGAAAAUGCAUCAACUCUAAACCAAGCAAAUUUAUCACCUGCAAUAGAAGACAAGUGAUAUACAGGGUGAAGCCAACAAUUUCGUGGUCUGUUUUCCUCAAGAGGGAAUCAUCAUUUAGAAAUUUGAGGGAGGGAGGCUUACGGUCAAUUAUUUCAGGGGUCUUGAAGAGCAGAAGUUUGUUUUCGCCACCUGUAAUAGCCUCGACUAGCAAUGGGAUAGUCUUGACUAGCCCUUUGAAGAUUGUCUGGGAAAUCUUCUAACGUGACUCCUUCGUUAAACAGUGAAUCUAUGGCUGUGAAGUCUGUAAAUUCUGGUUCUGGAUCAAGAAUUCCUGCUGCCUCGAGCGAAGGGAUCAACGUACGUAGCACAGAAUUCAGUGUCUUUGUAAAAAAUGUCAGAUGUUUCACCUCUGAAAACGCUUCAUCUCUUGUUACAUACACACUGCUGAUUCUUUGUUUUCUUGGUGCAUAGUCACUGCUGCUUCUUUGUUCCGAUAAAGGAUCUGCAAUAUUGGUAGAAAAUAUAUGAUACAAUAAUCACAUUGCUCUCAUAGUUUCUCAGUCAUACAGUUUCCCACAUCCGAAAUUAGCAUAUAAUAAAAGAAAAUGGUUCAUAGCUUGAAUCAUUGUCCUUAACAUUAAGUUCUUGAAGCACAUGAGCUUCCAUUUCAAAAGGCAUAAACACAAAUUUAUUUUUGUACAUGUGUGUUAUGAGACACAAACCAAAACAAACUUUUAGUUUUCAGUGUCUAGAACACUGUUUUAUUUUGGAGAAAUUAGGUUCUCAUCCUUCAUUUUGCUACUCUAUUGAUUAAAAUCCUAAUCAUUUUCAAUUUUUGAUCAAGGUCCUUGGUAUUAAUAACAUCAUUAAUUAUUUCAAUAAUAAAAUAUUUUUUUAUUUCUAAAUAUAUUCAUUUAAUGUUAAAAAUGUUACAAUUAGUAUAUUUAUAUUUAUGACUAAAAUUUUUUAUCAUAUAUUUUUAGUUUUAGUUUGUACCCAUUUUUAAUUUGUAAUUCUUUUUUAACUUAUACCAAUUUUCUUUUCAGUUUUAAUUUGUACCCAUAUAUUAAUUUCUUUUUGUGCCCAUAUUUUUUAAAGUUUAUUUGUAUUUGUACCCAUAUAUUUUUUUUAUUUGUACUUUUUAUUUUGCUAAAUGUACCCAUGCUAAUUAUAUGUACUCAUUCAUGUAAAACUUUUUAAUCUUAAAAUGUGCUCAUUCUUAAAUAUACCAAUUUGUUAUAUGUAAAAUGUACCCUUUUUUUAUAUAAAAUCUAUUCAAUUUUUUUCUAAUCCAUUUUUAAACUUAUAUGGGUACAUUCUUUUUUCUUUGAUUUUAAAAUGUAUCCAUGUCAAAUUAAAUCGAAGAAAUUUACUAAUGUUAUUAAGCCUAAUAUCUUUUUUUUGUUGUUGUGAUUUUGAAGAAUGUACCCAUGUUUUGAUACAAUAAUUUUUUUAGUUAAUUUUGACGAAUGUACCCAUGUUUAUAUAUAUACACACACACAAUAGAAAAUUUAUAUUUUAAUAUUUUUAAUCCCACAAAUUAUGGUUUUUUUAUAUUUAAAAUCUCAUUUAUAUAAACAACUAAAAUUUCUAAUUUUUAAUUAAAAAAAUAUAGUAACGUACAUAGAAAUAAAUUAUUACAUUAAUUUCAAGGACCUCGAUCAAAAUUAAAAACAAACAAGGUUUCAAUAAAAGAAUAUUCAUAACUAAAGACUGCAUCCAAAGUCUCCCUUUUAUUUUCAUAUAUAUGGGAGCUAAUUGGCUGCUAAGGGUUUCUACCCCUCUUUUCCCUAUAUCUCUCGUGCCGUGACUUCAUAUUCCAAGUGAGAUAGAAAGAAGAGGUUGAGGGAUUAGUAUGUAAUUAGUUGGUUAUAUAAUUACCCUUUUCAGAGCGUGGUCUUCCAGUUCUGCAGCUCCUCGGGUACGGGUGAUCUUUGCCGCCAAGGACAGGCCUAGCCAGUUUAUCAUCGUGGUCUGGAUCGCCAAGGUCGUUAUAAGUAUCAUAAUCGUAGAUCCUAUUAGAUGUUUUUCUUUGGCCCGCCCCAUCUCCUUGCAAAGUCUGUAGCUCAGAUUCUCUUAGCUUCUUCAACCCACUUGGAGUCUCUGAUGGUAUGUACGACUGCUUCGAAUCAUUACAUGUUCACACAAAUUAACACAUCAACUAAUUUUGUGGAAGACUAAGGGGUGGUUUGGGAGUGAGGUGCUUAAAACAAAAGCACCCAUGAAAAAAAGCUGUGAGGGUUUUAGAUGUUUGGUAAACUGAAAAAAAAAAGGGCUUAUUUUGGAAGCUGAUGUGAGAAUAAGCUGAAAUCAAAGGAAAAAGCUGAAGCUGCUAUUUGUAGCUUUGGAAAACUGGUUUUUUUUCAAAGCACACGGAACUACAGUGCUCCUUUAAUGAAAAGACCCACUAUCAGACUGCUUUUUUUUUUUCAAAAGCACUUUUACAAAAAAGUUUACCAAACACUCAACUAAUUUUUUUCACAGCCGCUUAUUCUCACAGCACAGCCGCUUAUUCUCACAGCAGCUUUUUUCAAAGCACAGCAAUACCAAACCAGCCCUGAGUCAGCCAAAACCAGUCAAAACACAUGGUAAUUUCUGUUAGUUUAUAAGUGUAUAUGCUGAAAUAUAAUAAGAAGUCAGCUUUAAAUAUCAGCCCUUGGAUCAUAGUCCAAGUGUGCAGCUAAGAUGUAAUCUUAGAUUAAGUAAUAUUUGCUCUUGCUACAUGUGCUCAGUGUGUGCGUAUGAAUCAAAUAGAGUGCAGAGUCUCUUCUUCUUCAAGCUUAACUCUCUCUUUCUCUAAAACUCUCAUUUCCUCUUCUUUAGUACUCAUAGAUUGAUUGAAACUUAUAUACAAGAUUAUAGUCUGUAUGCUAACAUGGCCUCAGAGCCAGGUUUGAUCAAUUGAUACUGGACGUUUGGAUCUGUGAAGAGUGUUACCCAGAAAUCGAGUCGAUUGUGAUCUGAGUCUAACAUGGCAGGAUCGAGUAGUAGUGAGGUGAGAACACCGAUUUUCAAAGGUGAUAAUUAUGAGUUCUGGAGUAUUAAGAUGAAAACGAUUUUCAAAUUUCACGGACUGUGGGAUCUGGUUGAGAAAGGUUUCGAGAGUUCAGAUUCGAAGGAUGAUGGUGAAUCUGAUGGAAAGAAGAAAGAAAAGGAGGAGUCGAGCAGUAUUGAGAAGCUAUCUCUAGCUGAGAGACUGAUGAAAGAUGCUAAAGUUCUGGGUCUGAUUCAAGGAGCUGUUUCAGAUGAAAUAUUUCCCAGAAUCUCUUAUGAAGAAACCUCAAAAGGCGCAUGAGAUACUCUGCAACAAGAGUACCAUGGUGAUAAACAGGUUAGAAAUGUUAAAUUGCAAGGUCUUCGUAGGGAAUUUGAAUAUACAAGAAUGCGAGAUGAUGAAUCACUUUCUGUUUAUCUUAUCUUACAAAGUUAUUUGAUCUGAUAAAUCAAAAUGCGGAGUUAUGGAGAUGAGUUAUCUCGAGAGAGGAUUGUUCAAAAGUUAUUGAUUAGUUUGCCAUCAGCUAUAUGAUUAUAUAUGCUCUCUGUUAUUGAACAUUCGAAGGAUUUGGAUGUGAUUGAGGUACAAGAAGUAGUGGCUUCCUUGAAGAGUUUUGAGCUACGUCUAGAUAGACAUUUCUGAGCACAAAACUGAGAAAGCAUUUGCUAGUCUCAAUGUGAAUCCCAAACCAAGCUAAAUUCACUGGAAAUCAAAAAAGUGCAAGGUAUAAUAAGAAUAAGAAAUUGGAAAGAAAAAGGGAAGUGGGAAUAACAAACCCACUGAUGGUGCUAGAAAUCCUUGUAAAUAUUGUGAUAAGCUACAUUUUGGUGAGUGCCGAUUCAAGGGUAAACCAAAGUGUUAUAACUGUGAUAAGUUUGGUCAUCUUGCAAGGGAUUGUAAUAGCAAGAAACCAGUGCAACAACUCAAUUAUGCAAAUAAGGUAGAAUCUACACCUACCAUGUUUUAUGCUAGUAAUCAAAUUAAUACUAGUGUAAAGGACUGUGAUGAUGUAUGGUAUGUAGAUAGUGGGUGUAGCAAUCAUAUGACUGGAAUGGAGGAUUUACUUGUGGAUAUUGAUAAGAAUGUAACUGCAAAAGUUGAAAUGGGUACUGGACAGCUUGUUGAUGUAACUGGUAAAUGGAGUCUUGUAGUUGAAACUAAACUAGGCAAGAGAUAUAUCAAGGAGGUUAUGCUUGUGCGUGGACUGAAAGAAAAUUUGCUCAGUGUGGGUCAAAUGAUGGAGCACGGUUAUUAUUUGGUGUUUGGAGGUCACAAGGUGGAAAUCUAUGAUGAUAGCUCAUAUUCCAACAUGGUUGCUAAAGUUCCAAUGAAGGGAAAUCGAAGUUUUCCAAUGAAAUUACAGACUGGAAUACAUAUUGCUUUCAAGGCAAAUGUAUGUGCUUCUACUACUAUGUGGCAUAAAAGAUUGGGACACCUAAACAUGAGCAGUUUGAAAUUGAUGCAGGAACAAGAAAUGGUAGUAGGAUUACCAGAAAUCAAAGUAGUUAAAGGAGUAUGUGAAGGUUGUGUUCUCGGCAAACAAUGUAGAGAAGCAUUUCCAAGGGAAGCUAAUACUAGAGCAUCAAUUCCUCUAGAGCUUGUGCAUAGUGACAUUUGUGGUCCGAUGCAGACAACUACAAAAGCUGGCAAUAGAUAUUUUCUUACUUUCAUAGAUGACUGCACCCGGAUGUGUUGGGUUUAUUUUUUAAGGCAUAAAUCUGAAGUUCUCAGUGUGUUUAAAAAGUUCAAAGCCACUGUGGAGUUGCAGAGUGGUUAUAAUCUAAAGCAGCUUAGGAGUGAUCGAGGAGGUGAAUACACUUCAAUGGAGUUUAACAAGUUUGUUGAAGAUGUAGGCAUGGAAAGACAACUUACCACUCCAUACACACCACAACAAAACGGUGUGGCAGAGCGAAAGAACAGAACCAUUGUGGAAAUGGCUAAGUGUCUCAUGUUGGAGAAGGACAUCCCACUUGAAUUUUGGGCUGAGGCAGUUAAUACCUCAGUGUAUAUUCUGAAUAGAUGUCCAACCAAAGCUUUACAUAAGAAGACACCUUUUGAAGCUUACAGUGGGAGAAAACCAGGAAUUAAGCAUCUAAAGGUGUUUGGUUCUUUGUGUUAUGCUCAUGUGCCAAGUCAACAGAGACAAAAAUUCGAUUUGGCAAGCAAGAGGUGUAUUUUCUUGGGAUAUGGUAGUUGUGAGAAGGGAUAUAGACUUUAUAACAUUGAAUGUUGUGUUUAAUGAAGAAGCAUGUUGGGAUUGGAAUGCACAGAAGGAAAGAAGGGAGAGUAUCCAGAUCAUUGAAAUGUCUGAAGGAGAACAAAACUGUGAAGGAGGUGCUUGUGAUUCUGAAACACUCAGUGAAGAGAAUGUUGGGCCAAGCUUAGUUACUGAGCUCUCUGAUCAAGAAAGAAUGACAGGUCCACAGGAUUUUGAUCACACUCCUCUCAAGUACAAAAACAUUGCAGAAAUUUAUGAGAAGUGUAAUCUGUGCAUUAUAGAACCCGAAUGUUUUGAAGAAGCUGCCAAGGAUGAAUCAUGGCAGAAGGCUAUGGAAGAUGAAAUUUCUAUGAUUGAGAAGAAUCAUACUUGGGAUCUUGUUGAUAGACCAUUUGAUAAACCAAUCAUUGGAGUCAAAUGGGUUUAUAAAACAAAACUAAAUCUGGAUGGUUCAGUGCAGAAAAACAAAGCACGGUUGGUUGCAAAAGGUUACUCUCAGAAGCCUGGAAUCGAUUUUAAUGAAACUUUUGCACCAGUGGCAAGACUUGAUACUGUGAGAACUUUGGUGGCCCUUGCUGCACAGAAAGGAUGGAAAUUAUUUCAGUUAGAUGUAAAGUCUGCAUUUCUAAAUGGAGUGUUGAAUGAAGAGGUGUAUGUGGAUCAACCAUCUGGUUUUGUUAUACAGGGCAAGGAAGACAAAGUGUACAGGCUCAGGAAAGCUUUAUAUGGUUUGAAACAAGCUCCAAGAGCUUGGUAUGAAGAAAUAAAUUCCUAUUUUGCAAAGGCUGGAUUCCACAGAAGUCCGAGUGAAGCUACUCUUUAUAUCAAGACAUUUCACAGUGGCAUUCUCAUUGUGUCACUAUAUGUAGAUGAUAUUAUCUACACUGGAAGUUUAAAGGAGAUGAUAGCAGAGUUCAAAGGUGAGAUGAUGAGACAAUAUGAGAUGACUGAUCUAGGAUUACUUCAUCAUUUCCUUGGUCUUGGGGUACUGCAGACAGAUAAUUACAUCUUCUUGCAUCAAAAGAAAUAUGCAAAGACUUUGCUUGAGAAAUUUGGACUUAGGGAUUGCAAGCCGGUUGCAACACCAUUAGCUAUGAAUGAAAGACUUACAAAAGUAGAUGGAAGUGAUCUGGCAGAUGAGACUUUAUAUAGACAAAUGGUGGGAAGUUUGCUAUAUUUGACAGCAACAAGGCCAGAUAUUAUGUUUGCAGCAAGCUUAUUGGCUAGGUUUAUGCACAAUCCUACCAAGAAGCAUAUGGGGACAGCUAAGAGAGUUCUGAGAUACAUACAAGGCACUGUGAACUAUGGAGUUGUUUAUGAGAAGGGAAAAUGAGUAGUGUUGGUUGGUUAUUGUGAUAGUGAUUGGAGUGGAAGUGAAGAUGAUAUGAGGAGUACAUCUGGCUAUGCAUUCAAUCUUGGUUCUGGUGUGUUUUCUUGGGCCUCAAUCAAACAAAGCAGUGUUUCUCUUUCAACCGCAGAGGCAGAAUACAUCAGUGCAGCAGAAGCUACUGCACAGGCCAUUUGGCUAAGAUUUGUACUCUCUAAUUUCGGGGAAGAACAAGCAGAACCAACUAAGUUGUUGUGUGAUAAUACUUCAGCAAUUGCCAUAUCAAAGAAUCCAGUUCAUCAUCACAAAACCAGGCACAUUAAUCGGAAAUUUCAUUUCAUCCGAGAUGCACUUCAAGAUGGUGAAAUUGAUCUGGUAUACUGCAAGACUGAAGAGCAGAUUGCAGAUAUAUUCACUAAAGCUUUGGCAAGGGAUCGAUUUGAAUUACUGAGGACAGCUUUGGGAGUGAUUUCAGCACAUCACUUAGAAUGGAGUGUUAGUUUAUAAGUGUAUAUGCUGAAAUAUAAUAAGAAGUCAGCUUUAAAUAUCAGCCCUUGGAUCAUAGUCCAAGUGUGCAGCUAAGAUGUAAUCUUAGAUUAAGUAAUAUUUGCUCUUGCUACAAAAACAAAUUGCUAAGCUUAACUGAAAGAUUAAAUUAGAUUAUAGUCAUGCCCUAGACGAGAUCUAUUUUGUAUUUUCACAUUUUGCAAAAAAAAAAAAAACGUAACCUCCUCGUACGAAAUAAAAAAGAAUCAUGAUAAAAUGUAACAUUUUUUAGUUAUUGAUUAAAAAAUUAUUUAUUUUUUAUUUAUAAUGUACCACAUAUUUUAUGAUAAAAUUUAACUAUAUUUAAAUUUAUAAACAAGUACCUAUAUAUUUAUAAAUAAAAAUAAAACAUUUUAUUUCUUGAAAAAAAAAAAUUGCUGAUCAUAUUUCUCACAAUUCAAUUUGAAGUAGAAAAAAAUAAAAAAAUUCCUAUUUGGUAUUAAAAUCUUUGCAUGAAGUUUUGGGAAGGACUUGAUAAAAGUGUUGUUAGUAAAUUUCUUAAAUUAAUACCGAAAAUAACAUUUUUUGUCCUUCAAAUUAAAGUAUUCAAAUUAAUUAAACAUUUAAAAUUCUAAGAUUUUAGAGUCAAUUAGAAGUAACCGGAACCAAAGAUUUUCCCACUAAAAAAAAGAAAAAAAAAUGAAAACAACAAAAGAGUUGGUAAAAUGAGCAGCCCUAAUGAAAAUAGUUAUUUGUGUUUGCGUGCACGCGCACACACACAUAUAUGAAAUCUUUAAGGGAAUGGAUCUCUUUUUAUUUUAUUUUAUAUAAAAAUGGGGAUUAGUUUACACACACACUCUUUAAGGGAAUGGAUCUCUUUUUAUUUUAUUUUAUUUUAUUUUUUAUAAAAAUGGGGAUUAGUUUACACACACACAUAUAUAUGAAAUCUUUAAGGAAAGAGAUCUCUAUUUUUUUUUAUAUAAAAAUGGGGAUUAGUUGUAUGGUCCACACUACAUUGAACUUUAACGAUCCGAACUGUUUAUUUUUCAAGUUGCACCUCAUGAUAGAUCAUCCUUACAAAAUAUUAGCUAAAUCGGAAAUGUUUAAAACAUCUAGUUGGGUUCAAAGAAAUUAACGAAUACUUUGUUAUAUAAGAAACAAUGAAAUUUUAUUUUGAUAAUUAAAUAGGCAAAUGGUUUAAUUUUUGUAAGGAUGAUCUAUGAAUCAAGACUUACAAAAUAGACUGUUCGGAUCGUUGAAGUUCGAUGUGGAGUGAGCCCAACACCUAAUCCCCAUUUUUUAAAAAAAAAUGGGAAUCCCUUUGCAUAAAAGGGCCUGAUAUAUGUGUGUAAUAUAUAGUCUCCUACCAUGAAGGGAUCCCACAUAGAGAUUCUUUGUGUUCACUUCACAUCGUAUUCGAAUUAUCAAACUAUCAAUCUUUUUGGUAUUCCUUCAAAGAUUAUCUCUAUGAAAUAUCACUUUAAUGUGAAACCAUUUGACCAUUGGAUUAAAUGGUCAAAUGAGUGUUUUUCUUUUUUAAACCGUACACGUCUAUGUUCUUCACUACAAAUGGAUACUGAUAGGUAUUUUUACCACCUGCAAAACUAAGGAUAAAAACACUAAAAAAUACUUGCAAGAGAACAAGUUAGUCGUAGUAUAGUAGCUCAAGCAAGGUCGUUUUCCACAGAGAUUGAAUGAAUAAUUUGUAUUUAAACUAAUCCUUAGCUAAUUAUUUAAAACAAGAUUUCGAAAAGGUUGAUUUUGGAAUUUUAAAUAAUAAAAACAAUUUAAGAAAUUAACAAAGAAAAACUAAAGAAAAUAGUUUUGAAAAAUAAAGUUUAAAGCCUAGGGUUCCGCCAUCUCCUUAACAAUCCUAUGUAGUUUUAUCAAUUACUUAUAAAUUACACAUGCAACUUUGAAGGUUAGGUUUUCCUAAUUUAUAUUCUACUUGGAACCUCCAACAUAGAACGUAUAUCUAACAUGCAACCUGUCCGGACGUUCGGAUCAGAUUUGAACAUGAGAGAUUCAUUAUGCUUUAUGAAAACCCUUUGAAAAACCAUGCAACCCUUAAGACGUGGUGUUCAUCUUAAGUGAAAUUGCAAUUAUUAAUCACAAGAAGCCAGCGUCAAUUUUAGGGAACCUUCCGACCAAAAUUGCAUCAAAUAUCUAAACAUCCUAAUGGUAGCUAAGCAUUAAGACAUAGAGACAGUUUAAGCACAGUGAUUAAUAAUUCAAAGUAAACAUGCAUAAUAUCAUAAGCAAUUGAAUAAAGACUACAUAUUCAUGCUAAGGCUCAAUGCUUCACCCUAGCAAACGGAAAUUAGUUACGAACAACCAUAAAACAAAAUAUUAUUAAAAAUAAGGAUAGAAAACACCUAGAAAAUAAACUUGAAUCCAGAAGUUGUGCGUUUCCUCUCCUCUCCUUCUCUUCUUUUUUCCUAACUGCUAAAAAGUCUUAUUUAUACUACUACAAAAUAAAACCCUAAAAAGUCUUAGAAUAAAACUAUGAAACAUAAUAAAAUAAUAAAACAGAAAAUAAAAGGUUUCCUAUUUGAACUAAAAUUCGGAUUUCUCAGAAAAUCACACUUUUGACCAACCAAAUUAACUCCGAUUUGAUCUCAAAAUGUCUCUUUUUAAAGCUUGAGACGUCCCCUACAAAUCCUCAGAAGGAAUCUUCCUCAAAAUAUCCCAUCUUGACCUCCAAAAUACCCAAAAUAUCCAGAAACGUCAAUUUGGGAAAGCUGCGCGCUGGGCCUUUAUUUCGUCACCACGGUCAAACGGCUUGGUAGAAAAAUCUGGAAUUUCGAUAUAAUCAUCUUGAAAGACUCACGAACAUCUUCCACUUGGAAUCACUCCAAAAUUCAUUCGUUUGAUCACUUUUUGCUUCAGAGGAAGUCGAAUGUCCGAUAUUAGAAAUAUAACUCAAAGUAUCAAAAUUCUACCAAAAUAACCAAUAAACUGUAACUAAGAAUAGGGUAAAAUAUAUGGUAUAAUAUGGGAUCAUAAGAUACCUUAAUGAUUUUGGAUUUGUCUAAUUUUGUACAAGUAUGAUCUAUAAUGAUGAGCUGAAAUAUAGAUAAUUUGAAUCGUUGAAAAAAAGUUAUGAAAUGAGCACCACAAAGUGUCACUCUUCCUCAAAUAAUUUUAUUUGAGGCAUCCUUCAACUGGAGGGGGCUAUAUAAAUAUGGAAAGUAAUUUUCACACAUCAUUUUUAGCUUCUUACACAUCCCUAUUAUGUAAUUCUGAUAGUAGAUUCUGUUUGAUUUAUUUAAUUCAAUUAACAUAAAUAAGGAACAAUGUGUUAGAAGCUAAAACUGAUAUGUUAAAAUCACUUGUAUAGACCUGAAACCAAUCGAUUAUCCAAGUACAGAAAGAGUCCGAAAAUAGAUUUGAAAGGGGAUUUCUGUCCAUUGAAUCAGGUGUCUGAUUAGAGUUGAUUUCCAAUUGGUUUCUUUAUAAAGAUAAAAAGAAAGGCUGUUUUGAAUAACCUUGGGCAAAUCGUUUGUUAUUUUCGUGCAAAAAAAAUAAAACUCGAACGAAUUAAUGAACAACAAAUAUAAUAGAAAGAAAAAAAACUCACUUGUAUCAAACAAAAAAACUCUCAACUCUAAAAAUAUUUGUGGAUGUAAAGAUAUAAAUUUAAGAUAAUUAUUAACUACGUACGGUCAAACUGGCUGAGGCUGUGAGACAAUCUAUUUGUGUUUAUUCUAAUGGGAAAUGUUAUAUAUAUAUAUAUAUAUAUAUAUAUAUUCUGUAUGCUUAGAGUACUGCUUGCUUACUGGGGUCAAGCUCGGCGCCAACAAGCUCCAAAAGCAAGGUUUUUCGAAGCAAGUCGAUAUUGUCAUCGGGGGGACGAUUCAAGCGUAUGCUGGACCCUCCAGCUGUUACCGUCACCGUCACCAAAGCCUUUACCGUAAACGCCUGAUUCUCCGUUGAAGUAACCGUGAACACUGAUGCAGGUGAUGAUUUGAGCUCACCAGAAGUGGCACGGAUCACCAAGGAUGAGGAUUUUUUCUUAUUACGAUUUUGAUGGACAUGGUGGCGCGGAACGAUGCUGAUCAGGGAGGGGCUACCAUCCUUAAUCAGAUGAUUAGGGUUAAUGGACGAUUUUGGUAAGAGAGAGAAGGAUGGGGCAUAAAGCUGAGACGUCAUCAUCUCACCUACGAGUUGGAUUAAUAUGCUUUCUAAUUUGGUAUAAUUUUUUUUGGAAGCUUCUAAUUUGCUAGAAUAGCUUUGCAAGUUCAUGCAUUUAUAGAGAGACCAGCCUUCAUGCACGUGCUCAUGCACGAGCAGAAAGUAUUUUUUAAAUCACGGCAUGUUAUGCAUGAUUUACAUGUUUUAAAUGUAUUUAUAUGCGUAAAUUGACAAAAUGAAAGUUAAAUAUUUGAAGUAAAUGAAUAAUCUUAGAUCAGAUAUCGUUUGUUAAAAAAAAACAAUCAUUUGACAACUAAUUUAAUUACAUUAUUAUCCGCUUGGGAAAGAUCUUUUUUAUAACUAGCAAAUCACAUUAUUAUCCGCGUGGAAAAUAUCUUUUUUUAACCGACAUUACACACCUCUUAAGAUAUUUUGAAUGUACUUAAAAAUAGAGAAAAUAAUAUUUCAAGAACAUCUGAUUGAAUCACAUUAUUCCAAGCUUAUUGUAAGGUACUAAUUAAAAAAAAAACAGUACUAAUUUAUCACCGACGCUACACGCCUCUUAAGAUAUUUUGAACACAGCAUUUAUGAUUUUCUUUAUUUUUUAUUAUAUUUUUCUUUCCCCUUCACGUGGGCACCAUCAACUUUCACUUAUCCUUCUAUUAUUUUAUUUUUUUCUCCCUCCCCACUUAUUAUUUGUAUUAUAAUAUUAUAUUUUUUGAUGAUCAAAUUACCAAAUUACCCUUGCAUUAUUUGAUAUAUUGCUAUAAUAUUAUAUUUUAUGAUGAUCAAAUUACCAAAUUACCCUUGCAUUAUUUGAUAUAUUGUAUUGGGCUGCUUUUGGAUUUUUUGGCCGAGGGGCAGUUUGGUCCAAUUUUUUUUAUCGAAGCUGGUGACACCAAAACAGCCUUCCAGUUUUAUAUAUAGAUAAAUGAGAGAGAGGGUGAGGACUCGAAUCUUCUCCACCCAAAACGGGAUAAUGUUUGUGUUCUCAUGUGAAUCCUAGAAUGCCACACAUUUGGUUUUGAGACUAGUCUUCCGUCAGCUCCAAGUACUUCAUGUCUUAUAUUCAAAUCUCUUUUGAAGUCUUCCUAAAUGACGAAUGACUUAACUAUAUGUCUCCAAAUUGAAUGUUUUUUUUUUUUACAAAUAUGAUAUUUAGAUGAUGAUAAAGAGAAUGAACGGCUCCGACUAUGAUGUUCAGAUGGUAAAGAUUCGUUAUUUGUAAGUAGGAAUACUAAUUGGUUUUCUCACUGGAGGAACACAAGAAUUAUCCUCCAAAUGUAAGUGGCCUCUUUGUGACUUUUCUAAUUUCGUGACAACUCCACUUAACACAACAGUGUUAAUUAUCUUGUUAUCUCCGAAACCUAAAUGUAAAGAACCAAGGGGCUCUUCCUCUCGCCUAAACCCUUUUUCGUAUCGCCGAUAAAACUUGCAGUGCACAAGAACUACUUUUUUUACUCAUCUAUCAAAUUCUGCGUUACGGGUUCUAAUAAAACGAGAUUUUGUUGGCGAAAUUCUGGAUUUUUUUUUUGGUUUCAAAUUUGUAAAAUUGGGAUUGAAACUAUCAUUAUCUGAGGUUUUUGAUUGUUGGAUUUUAAUUGAAGAAAGUUGAAAGUUCCACUACAAAACUAAUUGGCAAUAUAAGGAGUAGUUCAAUCUCUUAUAAGCCAUUGUAAAAAAUUUUCUUUUAUUGAUGUGAAACUCUUUUACAUUUACAUCCUCACGUUGAUCUGGGUCUCUCUGUUUUGAAAAAUAAAUGGGAAACUCAGUGUUUCAGUGUGUAAAAAUGAAGGCUUGGAUUUUUAGUGUGGGUUUGGUUUCUGCUUUGUGGGGUUGUUUGUGCUGGAGAGAACAGCUUCGAAGAAAAAGAGAAGAGAAAGAGCAUGGAGACUUGGCCGGUAGUGGCAGGUGGCGAGGAGGGCGAUGUUCACUGGCGAAAUAGGGUGGUCGGGGUACGUCGUCAGAGACGAAGUCAGAGAUUUGUAUGAGCGGAGGCAUCCUCAAAUAACAAAAUCACAAUUAAAAAUCUCAAGAAUUUAUUGAACAAAACACUAAUAUAUUAAUCCAUAAAUUUUUUCAUACAACAUAUUACAUUAUUUCUCAAAUCGAUUUCAUGUUUUGAAAGCGUUGCAUAACAAUAUCAUUACUAAUACCAUUAAAUAUCUCUUUAUAUAAAAGUAAUCAUGUUAUCAUUCAUCCAAUGAUCUCAAAAUUAGAAAGCUAAAUUCUAAAUUGAAAUGCCAAAAACAAAUUAAUGAAGUAAAGUCGUAUAAAAUACCUUGUGGAGUAAAAUUCUUGUGUUGAAUUUUGAUAAUUGAUUACUUGAACUCCAACUAUCUAUAACACUCCAAAGUCAAUUGAGUUUUGGUUGAAUAAAAGGGGAGGAAAAAUCUGGAGAAAUUGAGGACUGGAAUUACUUUGCCGUACGUGGUGGGAUGAGUUUUGUGUGAAUUAACGACCUAGGGUUAGAAAAACAGGGAGGCUCAAUUAAAUUAAUUGUUAAUUAAAUUGUCAUUAGGUAGGACAUUUGGGAUCCAAAACGGUAGACUAGUUUAGUUGCCUACCAAUUUUUUUAAUUGUAGUUUAAUUAGAGCUGAUUAUUGAGAAUUGGAACGCAUCCAUACAUUUUUUUUAAAUGAGUUGGGACAUCCACCCCCUAGACCUACACUAGCUUCGUCCUUGUAUGCGGUUGCGACUAAGGAAGACAGUAGGGAUCAUGUGGCCUCAUCAUCUCCAUUUUCCCUUGUGUGCCAACAAGGAUCAUGUGACAGCUGUUUUUAUGUGAUUGCAAUUAUAGCUUAAGGUGUAAAGCUUGCUUAGUAGGUGUAAAGUUUGACUUGUAAUGUUUAUAAGUAAUAGCCUUCCCGUAAGGCUCAUCAAUAAGAAAUAUUACAAAAAAAUAAUAUGGUAUCAGAGCAGGAUUAAUCCUUGCUCUGCUCUGCCUUCACUCUUCCGCUGCUAUAUUCUCUCCUAGGAGACACACACACACAGAGCUCUUCACCCACCGAGCGGCCGGCAACCCCGACGGUACAAAACGCGCUUUAACAUAAUUUCACGAUUAAAUUGUGUUUUGACCCAAGAAAAAAAUGAUUUCAACAAGGCUUGUGUAUCAGAUUUAAAACGCAUGAGAUGAACCCAUGUGAAGCGAGUAAAAUCAUCUACAAUAGUUAGGAAAUAACGUGCUCCGGUGUGUGUAUGAAUUUUGUGUGGUCCCCAAAUAUCACAAUGAAUCAAAUCAAAAGGUGCAACCGAUUUUAUGGAACUUGAAACAAAAGAUAAACGAGUUUGCUUUGCUAAAGGACAAACCUCACAAACAUGCUUGGAAUCAAAUAUGAUUUCUGGGAUGGUUUGGAAUAAAGAGUGAAGAGGGGCUGAUGAUGGGUGCCCAAGAUGUUGGUGCCAAAGUCCUGAGGUGCGGUUAACAUGAUUAACUAGGUGAGGAUUUUGGCUUGGUGUGAGGUAGUAAAGCCCAUGAAAAUGCUUGCCCAAGCCAAUCGUCCUCUUCGUAUCCAUGUCCUGCACAAUACAAAAAUCGGGAUAAAAUAUUACGUUACAUUUCAACCCCCGAGUAAAUUUGCUCACAGACAAUAAGUUUACACAAAAUUUCGGCACAUGUAAAACUCCAACAAGAGAUAUCUCUUAUGACAAUUUAAUGGACCCAAUGCUUUCAAUUGCACCUUGUCCUCCAUUAGGUAAACCAACAAAAUCAUGUUGUGUUGUUGUUUUGUUAUCGUUGGGUGAUAGAUGAGAAAUGUCAUAUGUUACCCCGUUAUCCACAAUCCAAUAUAAUGUUGAAUGCUGAUCAUGUUGUGCAAUAUUGCAAAUGGGUGUAUAUAUACUACCACCUCUUGGUUUUCGUCGUUAGGGGAGAACAUGGUUUGUCGACUGCACAAGUCCUUAUACGGACUCAAACAUGCCUUUCGUAGUUGGUUCCAACGAUUCUCAUCUGCCAUUCAAGGGACUGGUUUCCAACAAUCAUGUGUUGAUUAUUCAUUGUUUACUCAGGUUCGUGAAGAUUCUAUCAAUGUGGUAUUGCUUUAUGUUGUCGAUAAUAAGGGUGAAUUUGUAUUGAUGAGUGCGUUUUUAAAGGCUUAUGACACCAUUUUUCAACAUACUUGUGCUCACACUCCUCAACAAAACGGGAUGGUUAAGCGCAAACAUAGGCAUCUUUUGAAUGUUAGUCGUGCAUUACGUUUUCAAGCCAAUUUACAUUUAAAGUUUUGGGGGGAAAGCAUACAAACCGCUUGUUAUCUCAUAAAUUGCCUUCCUACACCCUUACUUUCAUAUAAAUCUCCCUAUAAACUUUUGCACGGCACACCACCCGAAUAUUCUCAUCUUCGGGUUUUUGGGUGUUUAUGUUAUGCCACCAAUCUUACUCCCUUGCACAAGUUCGACACACAUGCACGUCGCUGUUUUUUCUUCUUUUGGGAUAUCCCUUUGGUUAAAAGGGCUAUCGAGUUUAUGACCUUGAUAGCAAGCAAAUUUUCAUAUCUCGUGACGUCGUUUUUCACGAGCACAUUUUUCAUCUUGCUACCUCACCACCAGAAAAUCAAUUAGAUUCCCCCGUAUUACCCAUUCCACAUGAUGACACAUAUUCUCCUUUAGUCUCAGCCCAAACACCCACACCACCAAAUCCAAAUCCACCUACAGACCCCACUAAUUCCAACUCUUACACAAAAAAUUUAGAAAACCUCUCACCACCCACCCCUAAACCCACUUCACCACCACAACCCGCCCUUCCACCCCAGCCCGCUCUUCUUCCACUUCGUCGUUCUGACCGAAUUAAACAUCCAUCUGUUCAUUUCAAUGACUAUCAGACCCAUCAUGCUGCUUUGCUCAUGCCCAGCAUUGUCCCUUCCUCUAUGUACGGUACGCGAUAUCCGCUUCAACGGUACGUCUCAUACUCUCGAUUAUCUCAUUCUCACAAAUCAUUUGUACACAACAUAUCCUACCUGGUCGAACCAGCCUCUUAUGAGGGGGCCGUCAUGACCCUAAAUGGAUUGCAGCCAUGAAUUCUGAGAUUCAAGCUCUUGAAGACAAACACACAUGGUCCAUGGUUUCUUUACCUCCUAGCCAACGACCCAUUUGAUGCAAAUGGGUCUUCAAGAUCAAGUACCAUUUCGAUAGUACCAUCGAACGAUACAAAGUCCGUCUUGUAGCAAAGGGGUUCACUCAACAUGAGGGCAUCAAUUACAAAGAAACAUUCGCUCCGGUUGCUAAACUAAUUAUUGUUCGUUGUCUCUUGACUGUUGCCGUUGUUUGGAAUAAGCCUUUGUACCAGAUGGAUGUGCAAAAUGCAUUUCUUUAUGGUACAUUACAUGAGGAAGUAUAUAUGCUACAACCUUCUGGUUUUCAUCGUCAGGGGGAGAACAUAAUUUUUCGACUCCACAAGUCCUUAUAUGGACUCAAACAGGCCUCUUGCAGUUGUUUCCAACGAUUCUCAUCUACCAUUAAAGGGAUUGGUUUCCAAUAGUCACGUGCUAAUUAUUCAUUGUUUACUCAGGUUCGUGAAGAUUCUAUCACUGUGGUAUUGCUUUAUGCUGACAACAUGAUCAUUACAGGGAAUGAUGAGGAAACAAUUAGCAACCUCAAGAAAUUUCUUAGUGGUUAUUUCCGAAUUCAAGAUCUCAGACAGUUAAAAUACUUGGUGUUGAAGUUGCAUGUUCCAAAGCUGGGAUUUCUAUUUGUCAAUGUAAAUAUACCUUGGAUAUAUUGGAGGAAGCCAGUUUACUCGGAGUAAGACAUGUGAAAGUACCUAGGGAACCUGAUUUGGUAUUGACAACAAUAGAAAGUGAUGCUUUCAAGGAUCCAACUCGAUAUCGACGGUUGAUUGGGAAAUUGAUUUAUCUUACAAUCAUAAGGCUAGAGAUUAUGUAUGCAGUGAACAAGAGAGAACAAAGUAUGGAAUGCCCUUAAUAACCGGAGAAUCCAGCAGGAAAGAAGAGUCUGCAGCUGUGGACAAACCUCCUCCGUAUUGGCCACCCCCGUUGGCUAACAAGGGAGGAGGAACUAACUGAAGAAAGCCCGAACCGAGGAAGGAAACACUGGUGAGCCACGACCGAAGGGAAGAGGUUUGUCCACAAUAAUACAGCUACUCAGCAACUACGGAGGAGAAUGCUAGAGGUUUGAUUUAAUUAAAUUAUCUGAGGGCCUUCUUGAGGGCCUCCCAAAUCUGGUCCAAUUUGGAGGGCUACCUUGUAAGUCGAGGGCCAAGGCGUAGCUUUAAUCCACAAUACAUUAUCCCAUGCUACAAACGGGCUGGGCCGAGGGCCCGUUCCUUCUUAUUUUUGGACUCGUCCCGCCCUACUAAUUUCGUAGACCCGCCUCGCCCCGCCCUGUUUUGUGUUUCAAAUUUUUGGACCGGCCCCGUACCCGCCCCGAACCGCAUAUACCCACCCUGACCCGCGGGUCCAGGACCCGUUUGCCCACCCCUAACACACACACACACACACACACACACACACACACACACACACACACAGUUGAGCCAGCUUUGGUUUUUGCAUACUGCUUUGAGCUGGCUGUACAUCUACCCAAAGGGAAAGGGAAUUCGAGAGCUUAUGCAUAUAAAGGAAAAUUACAACAACCCGGAGAUUUACAUUACCAAAGGGAAUUCGAGAGCUUAUGCUGCAUAUGAAUUUGAAAUGUUAAACUUUGAUGUUUUGUAGGUGUUGGCGAGGGAAAUAAUAGCUCCCUGCCUAUCAAGACUGCCCUCAAGGAUAGUACCAGGAUUAGAUACCAUUAUCAACAUCUUCAAUAUCUUUCGAAAGCCAUCAAGUCAGUACAAAGGAUUUACGGAUAUGGUGUCAACUACAUUUAACUAAUCAAAAAGCAAAACACACAUAUAAUAUAUACAUUGCAAAUCAAUUCAAAUUUUGAUACGGAGUUGAAGUUUUAUUCAAUACGUGCGCAGGGAGGGCGUUAAGGUGAAGGGAUACUUUGCAUGGGCACUUCUGGAUGUGUAUGAAUGGGACUCAGGCUACACUGUUCGAUUUGGGCUCACUUAUAUUGACUACAAACAUAAAAUGAAAAGGUACCUCAAGUACUCUGCAUAUUGGUUUAAGAUGUUCCUCCUCAAAUGAUUGAUGGUGCAAGAGUGUGGAAUAAGGUUAUAAGAGUAUUUCAAUAACUCAUUACUUGAAGACGAAACUCCCUCCAUCUACGUGACAAAAUAUUAUGUUUUUUCUCUUCUUGCAUCAAUAAGGUCUGGAUCACAUAUAACAUCGAGACCCAUCAGAAACUGUAUCACUUGUUCAUGAGUCGUGUACUAUUUAAGAAACUGAUUGCUGCUUCCGUUUAUAUUCUUUUUUCUUCUUGGUUAGGAAUACAUCGGCGUUACGAGGAUAUUUAUUGAUAAGUUCAAUAAUUGAUCACACGUUGAAUAUCAAAUAUUCGUCAACUAUUACCUCGUGAAAACCAGUCCUUUAGAUCAGCCCAAACUUCAACUAGUGUAUGGCAAUAGAACAAGCUCCUGAUUCAAGGAAUUCAAUAACCAAGAGGCAACUAUAUCGUUGUGUUGCCCUUAUAGCAAAUCAUAUACGAAGGAACACCUAUACUUGCGCUAAAAUUGGUCAAGCGUGCAGGAUCUUUUGACCUGUCCAGGCUCCUUGCUUACUCGAUCGAAACUCAACCAGUAGAUAAAGGUCGACUGGCAUUUGAUGAUAAAUCUGCUUCUUUGUUAGGUCUAGUACAGGUUGAUUUCUAGUUAGUAGUGACGUUUGGGAUUCCACCCCUACUAUUACCAAAAAUGGAAACCAAUUCAAUUAGCCAUAUUGCACGUCUAAGGCCAUCUCUAACCGAGGGCUGGCCAGAGGGCUCAUUUGAGCCCUCUGGCCCUCCAAGAUUCCCCAAGAUAUUAAUAUUUUAAUGAACAGUACAGGGCCAUAUUUGCCUCCGUCUCCAACCGAGGGCCAGAGGGCCAAAUGGCUCGUUUUAGCCUUGUCACAAAAAACUGUCUCUAACUGAGGGCCAAAGGGCCAUAAGGCCAAACAUAAUUUAUUAUUUAAAUUUAAAAACUACAACAACUUAAAUUUAAAAACAACUUAUAUUUAAACACUACAAAUUAAAUUUAAAAAUUACAACGACUUAAAUUUAAUAUCCAUAAUCAAUAUCAUCUUCAUCAUCUGCCAUUGUAGGAUUAUAGUCAGAGGUAAACAAUUGCCGCCGAGCCAUAAUUUCUUUUUUUUUUCCUAUCAAAAUAGGCCUUACUCAUUGGAGUGUAAUUCGAAGUGUUCCUUUCCAUAUUCUUAUCAUCCAUCUCUUCUUGUAUUUGUUUGGCUCGUUCUUCAUGUCUACACUUCCUUUCUUCCGCCUCACGGGCAUUUUGCUCCGCCAGUAAUCGAAAUGAGGCCGCCACUUCAUGUUGAGCGGCGUAAUCAGCAUUUGCCUUGCCCUUUUCCCUCAACCUUCGGGCCUUGUUUCGUCCCAUAGCCCUAGGUAAAGAACUUUCGGACGGAGUCGGAUUUUCUACCCUUGUUUGUUGAUUGGUAGGAGAUCCAUCUUCAUUCAUAUCUACAGAUGGGGAUGCAGCUUCCAAAGGAUCCACUUUAUGUUGAGGUGGAUCUUCAAAUAACACCCACCCUUUACAAAUUUCCCAACAACCGUGAAACUGAAAGGGUUUUGAGCUGCCCUCCAUAUACAAUUCCUCCGCUUGGCGUACCUAGAAAAUAUAAUUAAAAAAAUUUUAGGAAAUUAAUGUAAUAUAAUUAAACAUUUAAAAUAAACUAUAAAAACACUAACUUCGUCAUAGUAAUUGGUGCCGCUUUCAUGUCUACUUGCUACUGCUAAUAGUGCUUGAUGCCAUUUAUUCAAACUUGGAUGAAGAUGUUUCUUCCAUCUUGAAGAACAACUUUCGUGGUUUCGGGUAUUCGGUGGAAUGGUGCCUUCGUAGAACUCUAAGUAUUUUUUGGACACACGAGUCCAAACACCUUCACUUGUUUGAGAAAUCCCCCUCACACUAUCUUCUGAGAUCCAUCUAUAAGCCUUGCAAAGAGCUUCAUUUCUUUUCGGGUCCAAGCCCUACCUUUCAUUGCAGAUGAGGCCAUUUUUUUUGAAAAAAAAAUGAAGGAAAUAUUGAAGGAAAUAUUGCAAAUGAAGUGAAGAAAUAUUAUAGAAGAAGGAAAUAUUGAAAAAUUGAAACAAAUAUUAUAGAUGAAGGAAAUAUUCGAAAAUAUAUUGAAGGAAAUAUUGAAAAAUUGAAACAAAUAUUAUAGAUAAAGGAAAUAUUAGAAAAUAUAUUGAAGGAAAUAUUGAGAAAUAUUGAAAAAUAUUGAAGAAGGAAAUAUUGCAAAUGAAGUGAAGAAUUGAAAGAACUUCACCAUAUUUAUAGAAGAAAAAAAUGUUUAAAAUAAAAAAUAAAAAAUAAAAAAAUAAUAAAGAAAAAACCAACGGCUAGCUGACUCAGCUAGCCGUUAUAUUAAAAAACAUUUCAAACUAUUAGUGUCGGUUAUAACCGACACUAAUUGUAGAACUAUUAAAAAAAAAUAGCCAGCCCUCCAGCCCUCCAGCCCUCUCUGAUCCCGUGGGGCUCUCCCAGAUUCCAGAGCCCUCUGGCCUAGCCCUUGGUUAGAUACGGUUUUAGGCUAUUUUCGGCCCUCUGGCCCUCUGGACCCUUCGGUUGGAGAUGGCCUAAGGUGCCAACAAAUAAGGCCCAGCUAGGCUAGCAUAUGGAAUCUCCUUUUUUCCCCUCUAUCUUGUAGGAAAUACUACAUCUAUUCUAAAACAUUGAUCCUUGCACUUACAUUAUUUAAUAAUUUUUUAUAUAGUGAUAUAUAUACACUAAGGGGUGGAGAAAUAUGGAAUUGGAUCCAUUCCGAACCUUAGUGUCCGGAGCCUAGGAAUCAAUUCAUCUAGGCUGCACAAAUUCAAUCCAACGGUCCCUAUUAACUCAUUUCCCUAUCCAUCACACAAAACCAAUUGCUCUGAUUUUUUUUAAACACCAAUCAACAGCCCAGAUGAUUUGAUCCCUAGGCUUCGGACACUAAGGUCCGGAACGGAUCCAAUUCCAAGAAAUAUUAAUAUCAAACUUGCACCACUAGAUUCUUACUUAAAACCUCCCACUUACAUUAAAAUUCUCCACUUUACAUUAAAGUAGAACAAUAAAACACAUGCAAAUGCAUCAUAUAUAAUUAAGUGCUUCGCAAGUGGAGGAUUGUGAGUGUCCUGAUGAAUCUAUAGCAUUUUUCAUCUAUCCAUUACAUCUCAUUCAAUAUAUUGCAGUGAUGAAUCGUGUCAUGAUUCAUGACCAGCUAGCUGCUAUAGAAUAAUUUGAAGAGUAUAUGAUAAGACGUGGUGACUGGUGUGAACGUGGAGAGAAGCCAUCAUUGGAACGAGAGAUUUUUUAAUGUGACCGUCACACGAGGUGGUACACCACGUGUCUUUAUAUAAAUGGUGGGUUAUGUGUGUUAAAAGGUUAUAACUUAAAAAUUAAAAUUGUCCACCGCUUGCAUAAAAACACGUGGUGUACCAUCCGUGUUCCCAUCACAACUAAAAAUUUCUCAAUUGGAACCUUGAAAGGGAGAGAGUGAGACUCUGGUAUGAGAAAAAGACAUGCGAAUAAGAUGUUUAAGGCGAUUGGCCACACAGACGUCCAACACAAGAGAGGCGCCAUUAUUUCCUUUACCGGAAUUUUCUCCAUUCAAGUAUAAGAAAAAGAAAGUAGAUCACAUUAGAUAAAUAAACCUUGAGUGCAAGGGUAUAAAAUAUCGAUGAUAUCGGAAAUAUCAGUAGUAAAAAAACACGGAAAUAUCUAUGGAAAUAUGGGGAUAUUAUCGAUAUCGAUAAAAAUUGAAUAAAAACCACGGAAAUUGUAAGAAAAACUUGGAAAUUUUUAUUGAAACUUUGGAGAAUGUUUAUUUAGUCAAUUAUCUAUUAGUUUAUCAAAAAAAAAUAGAAGGAAAUGUAUUACAUGAUGGAUUUAACUGAUUUAAGUUGAUUAUACAGCAAGUUGGCAAAUACUGUAAGUGUAGAAAAUAUGUAGUAAUUAAUGAAAAAAAGAUUAAACACACCAUAAUCAUUUAUAUAUAAUGAUUUACUACAAUAUUUACACUUUAUACAUUGCAUGGUAAGAUACGUGAGUGAUUUAGAAUCUUGAUGAAACCACCAUUACUUUUUGUCUUGUCAAAAGUUGUAAAAGUUGUAAAAGUUGUCAAGAGUCAGAGAUAGGUCUAAGAAUUAUGUGGACCGUCGGAUUGGUUGAGAUUUAAUCUCAACCGUCCAAUCCAACUUCAGUUUUUCAGUCAUCUCCUCUAUGUCUCUCAUUCUGAAUCUCUGAUUCACAGACACGCACACACAUUCUCGAACUCUCUCAAGUCUGAACCCAAUCUCAUAUCUCUCAAUCUCAACUUCCCAAUCUCAUCUUUCUCAGUCUCGACUCCACAGUCGUCGAGAUGCUGUCGUCGUCAUCCAAGAGUCACCGCAAAAAAAAAGGGGUGUCGUUGUCGUCAGAAGUAAGGAGGCGCCGUCGUCAAGACUCUUGCCUCUCAUUUUGUAGAAGUAUGAAGGAGGCGUCGUCGUCGUCAUCCAAGAGUUGUCGAUGUUGUUGUUAUCCAAUAGUCACCGUAGAAGAUCUGACAACAAUUCUGCAUCGUAUACUGAGUCCAAUGGUUUCGAUAGUCGCAACUCCUCUCCGGCGGAGCUCCAGGGAGUGGAAGGAACGAAGCAGUCGUAGAAAAAGCAGCCGCCAGAAUGAACGAUGAGAUUUAUGGGUUGAUUUCAAAAUAUAAGGUUUUAUUUCGAUUUUUGUUUCUGGGUUGAUUUCUAGGGUUUGUCAAGAUUGGGGUUGAAUCUGUUUUGAUUGUUUCUUGAUCUGCAAUUGGAACGAGAUCGACCCGGGGGAAGGCACACCCAGCUCUGGCGAGGCCGUGAGUGUCGAGGAACUUUCCGAACACCUCCGACCGUUUCACGGUAAACGAAAGUUGUAAAAAUAUUCCUCUCGUCUUGUAUUUCAUUUUGAUACCUAGAUCGGAGUCUAUGGUGCUCUUUUACAGUCGGCCGAAGCUGUAGAAGCUCCGGCGUUCUUCUCUGAUUCGCACUAGCCUAAAAUAUCGCGAUAUUAUCGAUAAUAUCGCGAUAUUAUCAAUAUUAUCGCGAUAUUUUGACGAUAAUUAAGUGGAUAAGUGUGAAAAUAUCGCUCUUUCACAAAACCGAUAUUAUCGGCAUUUUAGACCAUGAGUGCAACUAGAACCUAGACAAUCAAACAUGAACACAACAUGAGCUAUCAAAGGUUGUAACCUGAUCCAUAUUUUGGUGUUCUUAGGCGAGUGUGCCAAACUAUUAAUAACAUCUGCUAGAAAGUUUAUCUUCUCUAAGAAUAUGACUCCCUGAAAUAUGUGGACAAAAGAAAAAAAAAAGACCUAAUGAAUAUCUUCAAUAAUAGCCUUCAUAAUGCAUCUAUUUUGAAUGGUAUGAAUAAGAAGCUUUGAAUCUUCAAUCUCUCGAAAGAGAUAUAUUGAGUAGAGACUUUAUGUGAGUUUGAAGAGUAUAUGAUAAGAGUGUGGUGGCUGGUGUGAAUGUGGAGAGAAGCCAUCUUUGGAACUAGAGAUUUUUUAAUGUGACUGUCACAUGAGGUGGUACACCACGUGUCCCUAUACAAAUGGUGGGUUAUGUGUGUUAAAAGGUUAAUAACUUAAAAAUUAAAAUUUUCCACCACUUGCAUAAAAACACGUGGUGUACUAUCCAUAUUCCCGUCACAACUAAAAAUUUCUCCAUUGGAACCUUGAAAGGGAGAGAGUGAGACUCUGGUAUGAGAAAAAGACAUGCGAAUAAGAUGUUUAAGGCGAUUGGCCACACAGACAUCCAACACGAGAGAGGCGCCAUUUUUCCUUUAGCGGAAUUUUCUCCAUUCAAGUAUAAGAAAAAGAAAGUAGAUCACAUUAGAUAAAUAAACCUUGAGUGCAACUAGAACCUAGACAAUCAAACAUGAACACAAGAUGAGCUAUCAAAGGUUGUAACCUGAUCCAGAUUUUGGUGUUCUUAGGCGAAUGUGCCAAACUAGUAAUAACAUAUGCUAGAAAGUUUAUCUUUUCUAAGAAUAUGACUCCCUGAAAUAUGUGGACAAAAGAAAAAAAAUGACCUAAUGAAUAUCUUCAAUAAUAGCCUUUAAUAAUGCAUCUAUUUUGAAUUGCAUGAAUAAGAAGCUUUGAAUCUUCAAUCUCUCGAAAGAGAUAUAUCGAGUAGAGACUUUAUGUGAGUUUGAAGAGUAUAUGAUAAGAGUGUGGUGGCUGGUGUGAAUGCGAAGAGAAGCCAUCAUUGGAACUAGAGAUUUUUUAAUGUGACUGUCACACGAGGUGGUACACCACGUGUCCCUAUACAAAUGGUGGGUUAUGUGUGUUAAAAGGUUAAUAACUUAAAAAUUAAAAUUUUCCACCACUUGCAUAAAAACACGUGGUGUACUAUCCGUAUUCUCGUCACAACUAAAAAUUUCUCCAUUGGAACCUUGAAAGGGAGAGUGUGAGACUCUGGUAUGAGAAAAAGACAUGCGAAUAAGAUGUUUAAGGCGAUUGGCCACACAGACGUCCAACACGAGAGAGGCGAAAUUUUUUCCUUUACCGGAAUUUUCUCCAUUCAAGAAUAAGAAAAAGAAAGUAGAUCACAUUAGAUAAAUAAACCUUGAGUGCAACUAGAACCUAGACAAUCAAACAUGAACACAAGAUGAGCUAUCAAAGGUUGUAACCUGAUCCAGAUUUUGGUGUUCUUAGGCGAGUGUGCCAAACUAGUAAUAACAUAUGCUAGAAAGUUUAUCUUCUCUAAGAAUAUGACUCCCUGAAAUAUGUGGACAAAAGAAAAAAAAAAGACCUAAUGAAUAUCUUCAAUAAUAGCCUUUAAUAAUGCAUCUAUUUUGAAUUGCAUGAAUAAGAAGCUUUGAAUCUUCAAUCUCUCGAAAGAGAUAUAUUGAGUAGAGACUUUGUCUGAGUUUGAAGAGUAUAUAAUAAGAGUGUGGUGACUGGCGUGGAUGUGGAGAGAAGUCAUCAUUGAGAGAGAUUUUUCAGUGUGACCGUCGCACGGGGUGAUACACCACGUGUCACUAUAUAAAUGGUAGGGUAUGUGUGUUAAAAAGUCACUAUUCUAAAAAUCCCCACCUAAGCGCUAGGCGGUUGGUCACCACUCCGAUUAAUGCCUAGGCGUUUGAAAAUUAAGAAAUGAUGCCUAAACCUGCUGAGACGCCUGCCUAGACCACCUAGGCACCCGCCUAGGUUGCAACUCAUUUAGACAGAAAAUAGAUAACUUUCAUUUUAAAUUUUAUUUUUUUAAUAAAUUGUAAGAGACUUGUUGAAUACUUAAAUGAGCACACAUUAUAGGCUUGUUCUCCAUGUUUUCAUUAUGUUCUAAUACUUCAUAAUAUAUAUGUCAUUCUGUUUUGUAGUUUAUGAUGAAAUUAUAUAUAUAUAUAUUAAGUAGAAACAGACACUUAUUUACAUGAAAUAUAAUAGAUUUACUUAAAUCCGUCUAGGCGUCUGCUUAAGCCACGCCUAGCCGCCUAGGCGUCUGCUUAAGCCACGCCUAGCCGCCUAGGCGCUAGGCCCCAACCCGCUGCCCGACUAGCGUCUAGCGUCUUUUAGAACCUUGUAAAAAGUUAAUAACUUAAAAAAAAAAUUUCUCACCAUUUACAUAAAAACACAUGAUGUACCAUCCGUAUUCCCGUCACAACUAAAAAUUUCUCCAUCAAAACCUUGAAAGGGAGAGAAUGAGACUCUGGUGUGAGAAAAUGACAUACGAAUAAGAUAUUUAAGGUGAUUAGCCACACAGAUGUCCAGCACGAGAGAGCCACACAUAUUCAAGGAGGGUAUGUAGGUUUUUGAGUUUUGACCAACCAAAGGCCGGUAAUAGAGUAAUCUGAGUGUGAAUCGUCAUUUAUUGCUACAGUCCGAGUGGGCCCCACUCCAUAAUUCCUAAUACUCCAACUUGUCCAUGUCAUGGCUUGGGAUUUCAGUUUGGUACUUUUCCACUUUGGUAUCUUGAAUAAUCAACUUGAACGGACUUGUCCCUUUCAAAAUAAUCCCCCACUCAUUCAUUUUAAAAGUGUCAUGGAUUACCCAAUUAUGAUGAAUGAGUGUGCGUUGAGUAGUGGUUAAGAAUGUACAUGCAAUUAUAGAUCCAUGUUAUUAUUACAAGUAAGGUAAAUCGACAUCACUCACCCAUGUACCACUCACAAAAGCUGUUUAACCGUAUAUUUUUAUACUUGCAAUACUGAGAAAGAGAAUGUCGAACUUAAAAUGUUUAAACACAUGGCUUAACGUUUUUAACCAAUGGAAUCAUAAGUCUUUAUAGCCAUUUUUUAAGAAACAAAUUGUAUUACUUUAAACAUAAAGAUAAAGAUAGUGGCAUUCCUCUUCACAAUGAAAAAUCUUAUUGAUGACGAUUUAAAACUAAUUUAUUCUCUUACCAUUAAAUAUAAAUAUAUCAUAUUAACUUUAUUAUAUUAACAAGGGAGGGGAGAUUUUCACUUUGAACCUCUUCAAACAUUAACAAGAGGAAUAUUUUAUCAAGAACUGAUUUAUAUAUGAAAUUAUGUAAUUUCUUCACACAAAUUUAUACAAGUCAAUAUUCUAUAUAUCUUUCUUGAUCUGUCUAGCCUAUUCUAUGUGGACUAGCUAAUAGUUUCAUUCUUAAUAAUUGGUUGUAACUAUUAAAUUUGCACCACUAAAAUAAUCGUCUUAAGGGGAUUAGCCUUAGACAAUCCGGUCCCCUACAGGAAUCAAACUCACAAAAAAAAAAAAAAAAAAAAAAAAAACUUGGGAAGAAUUUAAUCAAAAAGAAAAUAAGAGAGAAAAAAAAAAGUAAAAAGACCAUCUCCAAUGCAAAGACUCAAAUCUUAAACCUAUUUUCUUAUAUUUGAGUCCCAAAAAGGUGUUGAGUUUGAAAUUUUUGUUUUUCUUCUUCCAUGCAAGGACUUGUAUUCUUAAACCUAUGUUCUUAUAUUUUGAAUUUUAAGAUUUAAGUCUUUGCGUUAGAGAAGAAAACAUUGAAUUUUUAAAACUUAAAUUUUGAGUUUUGACUAUGAGCAUUGAAAAUUAUUGUGCUCAAAAUUCAAAUCUUAUUUUUCUUGGAUGAAUAAUAUCUUUCUCGUUGGCAUAGGGUCCUUCUUAACUCAAAUUUCAUAUUGAAAACCAAAUUUAAAUCUUAUUUCCGAAAAAAUAAUUAUAAAUUUUGUCUCCCGUAAAUUGGAAAUGAUUGGCUUCAUAUUUAGACUCAAAUACAAGAUUUGAAUUCGUAAACCGAUUACAGCUAGGGGUGGGUUCGAUACAGUUAUCGUACCAAAAUUCUCGUACCAAUUACCAUACCAAACUUUUGAUUUGGCAAAAUCUAUUAACAUUACCGUACCAAACUUUCGAUAUACCAAAGUUCAGUAUUGCCAAAUAAUUUGGUUGGCAUAGUAUGACAAUGGUAAUUGCCACUUUGUUUUGGGACAAAAUAUGUUUAUGUUUUUUUAACCCAAUUCAAGGGAAAAACUUUUUUUUUUGUACCUUUAUCUCAUACAUUGUAGCCUAAAUUCAUCUAUUAUUUAUUAUUCCCAAUUCACACACAAUAAUUCAAAUUAUGCAUCAAGAUUCAUGAUGAAAAUUAAGUUUACAAUCCAAAUAGAAGUUACGAACCAAAACAAGUAGAAGUUAACAAUCCAACUAAAAGUUAAAGUUUCAAACCAAAUGAAAAUUGGAACUAAACUUCAAAAAGUAAAAUUCAUUGAUCAAUUAUUCAAGUUUGAGAUGCCGAAGCUUUUGGAGGUGACAUUGAACUUGUAGAAGAUUGAGCUUGUGUCAAACCUACAUUACAAACAAAGAAAACAUAUUAGUAGCAAGAAGAAUUAAAGUUGAAAACCAUUUAAUAACAAAUUUACUAAAAAGUUUAAAGCAUAUCUUAUUUGUUUUCACUUCUUCCAUUUCCUUGUAAAAUUGAAGCAUAUCUUCCGUUGGUUCCUUGUUCAAGUUCACUUCAUCUGCCCUAAGUCAAUCAUUAGUACACACUAGUGCCUCUAUCAUUUUCGGAGUCAGGCAUGCCCUAAAAGGGUCCACAACCCUCCUCCCUAGGCUAAAUGCAUUUUCACUAGCAAUGAUAGAAGUGGAGAUUGCAAAGAUAUCCUUGGCUAUUUGUGAAAGAAUUGGGAACUCUUUUGUAUUUGAUUUCCACCAACUUAAGAGAUCAAAUUCACCAACAACAAUGCUAAUAUAAGUAGGGUUUUAUUUUCAAAUUAUUGGAAUAUUAUAAAUAUGUGUUAUAAAAUCAUACAUUUGUUGUAAACAUUCCUAAUUUAAUUGUGAUUGUGUAAAUCCUAGAUUAGAUUUGAUUCUAGUUAUUCUUUCCUAUUGUAUCUUGUAUUCCUUGGGGAUGAAGGAAUAUCUUCUCUCCUUUACUACUAUAAAUAAAGGCACAAUGCAGAAUGGAUAACAACACACAUUCCCCUACAAUUCUACAAACACAUCUCUCUUUUAUCUCCUCUCCUUGCCGUCGGCCACCCUAAAUAUUGUCAGAUAAAAUAGACCACAACACGUUAUCAGCACGCUCCUACCGCUGCACUUAGGAAUUUAACGUUAGAGAAUUUUUCUACAUCAAACCAAUUCAUGCAUAUCAUCACGCAAUCAGGUUCUUUCAAAACAAUGGUUUUUAUCUCAAUAUUUUUGCAGCCCUGAUAGCAUGAACAUUCACCAUGAUGUAUGACCCAACUUUACGUUUUACGUAUUUUAGAUUCUACAUAAAUUGUGUAUGCCUCAUAACCAUAAUUGUUGAAAUUAUGUGCAUUUGAUAUUUGCUAUGAAUUGCAUCAAAUAUAUUUGUACAUGCAUUGAAAUUAUUGUUUUUCAUAUGCAUAUAAUUGAGUUAUAUUUGAAUUGAAAAAAAAAAUUGCGAUUGGAAACCUAGCAUGGCAGACCCCUUGGUUCAAAGGAUUCACACCCCCGGAAGAGGAAAACCACGACACAAAGUCCUAAAGAACCUACCGUGAAUCCGACUAUCGCUUACUCAUUCUAUCCAACUCAUGAGGAAAUUCUAGAUUAUGGAAGCAUCCUUGAAUAGACGAAUCCUUCUCUCGAGAAUCGUGAGAUUUCGGUCUAUUAUGCUAGCUUAGAUGAUGUGUGGCGUAGAAAUGAGAUGAUUGUCGAAGAUGCAAUAACAUUUAUAGUAACUACUGAGAUCAUGUUAAGUGAUGACAUUGAAUCGUAAGACUCGAUACUAUCUUGGUCUCAAGAUAGAGCAUUGUUCGGAUGGAAUCCUAGUACAUCAAUUGAGCUACACCCAGAAGGUGUUGCGCCGCUUUAAUGAGGAUAAAGCGAAGUCUUUGAGUACUCCUAUGGUCGUUCGCAUGCUAGAUGCAAAACAAGAUCCUUUUCGUCCGAAUGAGGAUGAUGAAGAGAUUUUGGAGCCUGAAGUUCCUUAUCUAAGUACGAUAUGUGCUUUAUUGUAUUUAGCUCAAUGCACUAGACCCGAUAUCUCAUUCGCUGUUAAUCUUUUAGCAAGAUACAGUAAUGCAUCUACACGCAGACACUAGACUGGCGUGAAAGACAUCUUCCGUUACCUUAAGGGUACUACGGAUUUGGGUUUGUUCUAUCCCUACGAAUCCUCGAAUGAUGCCGCACCAUACGCUUCUUGAGUCAAUUCUCGCCUUGUUGGUUAUGCCGACGCAGGAUACUUAUCUGAUCCGUACAAGGCGCGUUCUCAAACGGGUUAUGUCUUUACCAUUGGAGGCACCGCAAUCUCUUGGAGGUAAACUAAAUAGACCUUAGUUGCCACUUCGUCUAACCAUGUUGAAAUUCUCGCCUUACAUGAAGGAGCUCGGGAAUGCUUUUGGUUGAGAGCUGUAGUGGGCCAUAUUCGAAGCUCAUACGAUGUUUAUCUCGCUGUUGAUGUCCCAACGACGAUCUUUGAAGAUAACGCAGCUUGCAUCGAACAGCUCAAGAAGGGUUACAUUAAAGAAGACAACACCAAGCACAUUGCGCCGAAGUUUUUCUUUACACAUCAACAACAAGAGAACCAAAAGAUUGAAGUCACACAAAUCCGUUCACAAGACAAUCUGGCCGACCUCUUCACCAAAUCACUGCCGAAGACGACGUUUCAGAAGCUUGUUCAUGGAAUUGGUAUGCGUAAACUUUCUGAGUUGUAACUUUGCUAUUUCUCUUUGGAAUUAUGUCAAACUCAGGGGGAGUAUCCUGUAGAUACCUCCUUGAUCUUAAUGUACUCUUUUUCCCUAUGAUUAGGAGCAUUUUUCCCACUGGGUUUUUGCUACCUAACUAGGUUUUAACGAGGCACCCACCUUGGGCUGGUCAUAUCCCUGAUGACGUCCUGUAGACGUUUUUUUUUACUUUUCAUUUCUCACGCAUUUUUCCUUAGACUAUGGAUUUUGUCCCUACUCGGGUUUUUGCCAUAGCCUUAGGGUUUUUUAGUAAGACUUACUACUUAUGCAAGUUCCUACCUUAUUGAGAAUAAGCGUUGCUCCUUGGAAUCAGUGUCGACGAGUCAACUUCCUCAACUUCUGCAUGAUGCUAAAUCUACCUUGAGUAUUUACACACUCAAGGGGGAGCGUUGUAAACAUUCCUAGUUGAAUUGUGAUUGUGUAAAUCCUAGAUUAGAUUUGAUUAUGGUUAUCCUUUCCUACUGUAUCUUGUAUUCCUUGGGGAUGAAGGAAUAUCUUCUCUCCUUUACUACUAUAAAUAAAGGCACAAUGUAGGAGGGAUAACAACACACAUUCCCCUACAAUUCUACUAACACAUCUCUCUUUUCUCUCUUCUCCUUGCCGCCAGCCACCCUAAAUAUUGUUAGAUAAAAUAGACCACAACAAUAUUAUAUAAUUUAUAAAUUAUAUAUUAUAUUAUAUUUUUGGUACGGUACAGUAAUACCGUGGUAAUUGUAUCAUUACCAAACCAUAUCAUGAAAUUUCUGACACGCCCGACCUUGAUAUCCUCCAAACACCAGGGUAAGCACGUGUUGGCCGAUACCCGAAGGUGACAAAACCACACUAACAUGCAUGAGAAAAAUGAAGAAAUACGAAUAUAAAUAAAACUUAUAGAUUUAAAUACAAUGCUUAUGCAAUUAUGGAACUGUGAACACGGAAAUUUCUUGAAACAAGAACACGUGGGUGUAGAUUUGUGGGUGGGCUGUUGAUCCAAGGGUUGUCGAGGCUUGAUCUAGGAAUGAACAGUUGUGCAGAUUUGUGGAUGAACUGUUGAUCCAAGGGCCAUCGAGGCUUGAUCUAGGAAUGAACAGUUGUGCAGAUUUGUGGAUGAGGCUUGAUCUAGGAAUGAACAGUUGUGCAGAUUUGUGGAUGAACUGUUGAUCCAAGGGCCAUCGAGGCUUGAUCUAGGAAUGAACAGUUGUGUAGAUUUGUGAAUGGGUUGUUGAUCCAAAAGGCCGUCGGGGCUUGAUCUUUAGGAUGAACAGUUAUGUAUGGAUGGUUUCUUCAUGGGCCGUUGGGCUUGAUCUUGAAGGUUGGAUGCUUGAAAGCUUUAGAGUUUCAAAGCUUCAAGGAUUUCAGGAAUUCUCUUCCAAUUUGGGAGUAGAGAAAUGUAUUUAUGAAUUCCUUGAUGUUUGAUACCUUGAUGGAGAAACCUAUUUAUAGGCUUUUGAGAAUGAAUCAUCACCACAAAAGUUUCCCACCCAAGCACCAUUACCUAAUUUUCCCACUUAAUGCAAUAUUGAAAUUGAAGUGGUCUAAUUUAUGGCCUAAUUUCCCACUUAAUACAAUUUUAAACUUAAAAUGUGCAUGCUUUGUCAUUGCCCAAAUGAGAAGAACUUGCUUUGAUCAGUAAUGGAUUGAAAUGAUGCUUGCCUUGUCAUUGCCCAAAAUGAGAAGAAAAACUUGUUUAAUCCUCCAAGGGUAUUUCUUCCUAUUUUGUUGAGUCACACGCCAUGUGUACAAUUUGUACGACACGUGGCAUAUGCCAUGUAUGCCCUGAUACGUCAAAAUUUAAAUGCGUUGGUGAACAUUUGCUUUCACCGAAAUUUCGAUGUCUACAGGAACAUAUUCAGAGCAUACAACUAAAUCUGAGACACUAUAAAGGAAAUAAUGUAAAAUUGAAUGAACAAAAGGAUGGGUCCUACACCGAGAGGACUCAAAGAUGCUGAUGCGGGAGUGCCUUGACGUUGGGAUUGUACACCUCGAUUCUAAGUCCUGAGGGGGGGCUCAGAACAAAACAUGGAUGGACCAAGUUGAUAAAUAAGUAAUACUAAAAUAGUUAUUCAACAACAUACUAACCCCUAAAGUUGAUGAAAACUCAAUAGCAUAAUAUGUAAUAGGUUUCCAAAAAUAUUAGCAUGCCAUAAAACCUUUGAUAAAACAUAUAAAACAUAUAUGAUAUAUAGUGAGCUAAGUAGUGGUAUUAUCUCCUGCCUGAAGGCAUAUAGAACACUUCAUUCGCCCGUAGGCCUGCAUUCAUCCGUAGGCAGUAUCAUUCGCCCGAAGGCUCUUACAUCACCUGACCGAAGCCAAUAUAUAAGUAACAUUCGCUCAUAGGCAGUAUCAUUCGCCCGUAGGCCCUACAUCACUCGACCGAAUCCAAUUAAUGAUUUCAUUCGCCCGUAGGCAGGACCAUUAGCUCGUUGGCAGUAUCAUUCUCCCGUAAACCCUACAUCACCCGACCGAAGCCAAUUAAUGAUUUCAUUCGCCUGUAAAUAGAACCAUUCCCCGUAGGCAAAUCAUAAGAAUGACCAUUAAGUAAGCACAUCAAAGCAUUAACAUAAUAUUUCUAAUAUAUAUCUCAAAUCGAAUCUCAGUAACUAAAACUUCAUAUCGUAAAACCAUGUUCAUAAGUAGGCAUAUAGUCAUCAACCAUAUAUACCCCAAAGGACGUAAAGUCGAAUAAGCAUGAUAAUUCAUAAACGUAAAACCAAUUUACUCAUAAACGUUUCAUAAAACAUAGACAUAAAAUUAUGUUUUUCAUGUAUGCAUUUCUAAUAGUAAAAUAUGCAUUUUUAAAAAGGGUCCACUCACAGAUACUUCACCGCCGAAGAGCAGUGCAAACAAGAGAGGACGAAAAUGCCAUAAAUAAUUGCACAUAAGCACAUAAAGGGUCCAAUUAAUCAAACUUUAUCAUAACGAUUGAAUUUCAAGAAACAGACGUCAUAAACAAAUUUAGGACAUCGAAAAACAUAAUGAGGGACCUCGGGUACCCCCACGCAUCACCAUUGGGCAGCGGCUGGGACGGCCACGCGCCAAUCUGGGUCGCCCGAAAGUUGGCCAGAAAAUUCGUUAGCGCCGACGUGGACGACAUCGAAGCACAGUACCUUCGGUAGAGGUGCGUGUGCUCCACGCGCUGGCCAAGACCUACGCCCACGCACUGCCUGGGUUCUGGGUUCGGCCGAUUCUCAUUUAGGUUUGGGCUUGCAACUGAGCUGGGUUCAAUGGCUCACAAUUAUGGAUUGGGCCGAGAGUUUAGGCCGGGUUAUAUGGCCUAAUAACUUUGGGCCGGCUAGGGUUGUGGAUCUGGGUUUAGGGCUACCAGGUCGAGUCGACCCGGUUUUCAAACCGAUUCUCACAGAGAAGGAAGCCAGAGCUUCCCAAACUCCGAUCAACCUCGAUUAUUAACCCUAACAUAUGAUUUACUCACCAAAUUGAAGAUAACCAAGUGUAGAUUAGGAUUAUACCUUUUGUUUCCCUAGUAGAGCUCGAAGUUGGCCGGAAAUUGGCUCGAAGGUCGUUGAACCUCGCCGUGCAUAGAGAGAGAGCGUGCGAGAGACGUAUGAGAGUUAGUUCCAGUUCAGGUCUCGGGGAGAGAGGCAUGAUGAACUGUGUGAUGGUGGUGGGCUCACCAGUGAGGUGGGCGGUGGUGGUGGUGCAACAGUGCACUGAGAGGGGUGAGAGCUAAGAGAGAGAGAGCUCGGGGGAGUUGAGAGAAAGAAAGAAAGCAAGGGAGAGAAAGAGAGAAAGAUGAAGUGUUUGGGCUGGGGGGACAAAACCAAGGGUGGGCCCCACUUGGGCACACCAAACAAGACCCAAAAGCAACAAUUUGAAAUAGGAAACUUUAACGAAAAGCUCCCGGUACUGUUCACUUUAACGAAAUACCAUAUUUUUACACUAAAAAGUCAAACCUGGUACUAUUCACUUUACCCUUUAGUUUAUCCUUAUCGUUAAAACUCAAAGUUUUCAAGCCCUUUUAAAGUAAAGCUAAUGAAAAGGGCUUGAAAACUAUGAGUUUUAACGAUAAGGACAAAUUAAAGGGUAAAGUGAAUAGUAUCAGGAUUGACUUUUUAGUGUAAAAAUGUGGUUUUUCGUUAAAGUGAAUAAUACCGUGGGCUUUUCAUUAAAACUCCCUUUAAAAUAUCUAUCAACCCCACUGAAAUUACCAAACUACCCCUUCGUUCCAAAAUCCGUAAAUAAAAAUGGGAACAGGUUGUUACAAUUUUGGUACGGUAUAAUAUUGUACCAUUACCGAUUGGCACAAAAAAUUUGGUACAAAAUUAAUAUAACACGGUUGGCAUGUUAAUUUAGCAAAAAAAUCCAUCCUUAAUUACAGCCAAAAGAAAUAUCCCAUUAUCCAUUCUUUAUUUGUCCCAAAUCCAACUCUACAUGUAACCUGGGAUUAAGUAAUUUUUUGGGCCACAGAAAAUGAUCAAACCCCAACAACAUAAAAGUAAGAAAAAGGAAAAUCCCAUGUGGCAAGGGAAUUGAGAAGUCACUAUCUGCCACGUGGAAAAGAAUGCCAGCACGGUAAACCAGAGCAGUGCCAAUUGGGCAGCUUCGGGAGUUAGGUAUGUCAUAGGUCUAUAGCUCCCUGUUGGUCUAAUUUGGCAGGGACAUUAGGCAUAGAGACCAAUAAUAAUCCAAGCUGUUGGGAAGAAAGUCACAUGGUAGUGCCCCGGAGGUGGAUUGUCUGCCCUCAUAUUUUCAUACUCUUUCCCUGCCCUCCUGUGAUGUGUGGUCACUGUUAAGCCACGUCAACAUUUUAUAUUAAUUUUUUAUAGAAAUAAUAAAACAAAAAGUAAUAAAAAUAUAAAAUAUUGACGUGGCUUAACCGUGACCACACAAACAGAAGGGCAUGAGGAGAGUAUGGAAAUGGUAGGGCAGACAAUGAAAAUGGGAGGGCAGACAAUCCACCGGUGCCCCCCUCUCUCUCUCUGCUGACUGCACCUUUCAUUUUGUUUAUUUAGCCAGCAGGCUAUACUACAACACGACACGUAUUCUCCUCGAGAUGUAAGUUGUCCCUCCCCUUUAAAAAUAAAGUUAAAACUGCCCUUAGUAUUACAGUUUAUUAAAAUUCUUCUAUUUAUAAGCGAAAUUUUUUAAAUUUGAUUCUUGUUAAAAGUAAAUUUGAACCAUAUUAUUCUUAACUUAUUGCAAGGCUAAAUCCACACCCCUCCCCAAAUAAUAUCAUUUGCUAAAAAAAAACCUAGGUAAAUAAAUUUGAAACUUAAUUUUGUUGACCCAACUACCAAAAUGUUGCUCUGCUUAUACCAUUAAUUAACCAUGUGUUUCUUUUUUGGUCCAUUAACCAUGUGUUUAAUAUUGUACUCAUUGUAUCCAAAGAAAAAUACAACCAUUAACCACGUAUAAAAGGAUAAUACUAGAAAAUUAAAUUUGCAUAUUAAAUGAUAUGUUACUAAUAGAAAAUAAGUAUGUUAAUUGAUACUUAAUUAAUAAUUUAGUCAUCAACAACCAUAUCAUUAGGUUUACACUUUGGUCUCCCUAGCAUUACCCUAAAAUAUUUUACAAAAUUCGUGUAAUAAUCAUAUCAAUUAUUAUUUUUAUAAAUUAAAAUUUAUUUCGUAAUUACAUUUGAAAACUGAAAGUUUUUUUUUAGUUUUCAAACUUUGUUUCAAUUAUUAGUUUUCAUAUUUGUGAAAACUAAAAUUUGUUUUCAAUCAAUUUUUUAGUUUUAAAAAAAAUUAAAAUUAAAAACAAAACGGUUAUUAAAUUGUCUCAUAAUAAAACAAUAGGAUGUCUUAGGCUCUUAUAUAUAUAUAUAUAUAUAUAUAAACUAUUUACUUUUGAAUCUUGAUAUUCUGUGUUCGAAUUCCUCGUGAAUGUAGUUGUUUAACGCAGACAUGACAUUGUGUGUGUAUAUAAUCAUUGGUAGGUAUUUUUGCCAAAAAAUAAAAUAAAAUAAUGGUUUAUCAGAAAUCAUGUAUAAUGUAUUUAGAUAGAGUCCUGUCAGAAAAUUAAAAAAAAAAUUAAUUAAACAAAGUUAGGGACAGGAUUUAAUAGUUCACGUCCCACUUAGCCAAUUGUAUAUAAAUAAACCAGCUGAAGUGUCUCCGUUUAAAGAGAAGCUGCGAGCUUUCCUUUCCUAGUAUUCCUUGUUAACUACAUUGGAAAAGUUAAAGAGCAGUGAAGAAUUGAGAAGAUGAAGAGCUAGAGAACAGAGAACAGAGAACAGAGAAGAAAUGAAAUGAUCUUUAUUAUCAAAAGACUUGAAUGAAUUACAAUAUGAUUCACCACUCAGUUAUAUAGAGUACAAAGCUUAGCUCCAAAGCUAACAGAAAUAACCAACUCUAUCAAUCUAACAACGUUUCAACAAACUCUUGAUGACAUGGCACUCUGAUGCGGAUAUUGCCAACAUUCCUAUCCCCAUGUUCUUUCAUAAAUACAAACGUUAACGCGUACGCUUCUUCUCAGACUUCCGUGUUCCCGCCGCCUGUUUCACACCAUCUCUCUCUCUCUCCCUCUGCCUCUGAGUGGUAAUGCGAGUGAAGGAAUCUCAUAAAUAAAAAACCCAUAAAAAAAUCUCAACUUUUUUCUUUUCUUUCUUCAAAUAAGAAGAAGAGACAGCGUUAUUACAGAGUUUCUCAGCCUAUCAAUGGCGAAGUCGGAGAACAACAGCACCACCAAGAAGCUUUCUUACAUUUCAGUCCCUUCUCAGAUUAUCAACUCUCUGUCUUCCUCUUCUCUGCAAUCGCUCCUCGUUUCUGCCAAGAAAUCUUCAAGGAGCAAAAGCAGCCGCUGCUUGAGCUGGCUCAGCAACUACAGGACCCCAAAGUUCUGGGUUUUCUUCCUCUUCCUCUUUGGAAUUAUUGGGAUGCUGAAGCUGGGAUUCAAUCUCUACCGUUUCGUCCCGUACUCUCCAUACCCAUGUUCCACAACUCAGCUCCAGGACUUGGUCUCCAAUAGGUACUCAAAAUCACACAUGGGUUUUGCUUCAAACGGUGAAAACAGCAACCAAGUCGAGGUUUUGAGCGAAUCCCAGCCGUUGAUUUCGAGUGGGGUUUUGCAAUCAGAGGUGGGGGUUGAGCCAAACAGUGGGAAGGUCGGAGAGGAAGCUGAUGGGAGUCAGUUUUGGAAGCAGCCGGAUGGUUUGGGGUAUCGGCCGUGCUUGGAUUUGACGACGAAGUAUAAGAGAGCUAGUGAGGGGAUAGUGAAGGACAGGACUAAAUACCUGCUUGUUAUGGUUUCUGGUGGGAUGAACCAGCAGAGGAAUCAGAUUGUCGAUGCUGUCGUUAUUGCCAGGAUUCUUGGAGCUGCUCUGGUGGUUCCUAUUUUGCAAGUUAAUGUCAUCUGGGGAGAUAAAAGGUAUACAAUGUUCCAACUCAACUCACAUUUUUCUCACUAAAUUACUUGCCUUUUUUUGGAUUCAAUGAGUUGGUUUAUGUAUAGCUUAUGUUGCAAUAUAUUUGCUUAGGAGACUGAAAUUGAUUUUCUGUGUUUCGUUUGAUGGGUGCAGUGAAUUUUCUGAUAUAUUUGAUUUGAAGCACUUUAAGGAAGUUCUUGCUGACGAUGUUCGUAUAGUUUCUGCACUACCAUCGACGCAUAGAAUGACGAGUCCAGUGGAGGUGAACCAGAUUCCUCUACAUGCUUCGCCUAAUUGGAUUCGGUCGCAUUAUCACAAGAGGGUAACAAUCAUUGCUGUCUUUGUGCUUGCAUUGAAGCAACCCGGUUGUUUUUACUAAAUAUUUAAGGAAAUAUGGAAUAGAGGAAAAGAUGCUUUAGCAGCUGUUUAGUUUGUUAUCUGUGGGCCUAGUGACACCAAAUUUUUUUUGUUUGGUUGUUUGUUUUUGCUGGUGCGUUCCUACGAAAAAAUGUCAGCUUUCUAACGGUUGUUCUCAUAUUUUAGUCUACAAGUGUUGCUACAAUAGCAUGGGAAGGCCUCAAUAGCUCUACAGUGAGGGGCUCUAUAUGGGACUGAAAAAGUGGUGGAUAUAGCUCAUUUUAGAGCUUCAAGGAAUCUUUGAGGCUUUAUAAAAUAAUAUCUCCCAAUGAGGGGCUAUAUUUUUCGGGCUCUAUAUGGGGCUAUAUAUAUUUAUUUAUGUAGUAAUUUUAUUAAGCAAUGCUUUUUUUUUUUUUGUUAGCUUUUCUUAAGUUGAUUUUUGGAUGUGCUUAAUUUUUUUUUUUUAUGAACCCUUCAACCUAAAAAGUUCAAAUUGUGACAAGGUUAGAUUUCAUCACUUAUGAAUCGUUUGUUGGACUAGAUUCUCUUAUCUCAAACUCAUCUGUUUAAAGAAACAAACCCCCACUUCGCCCUCUAAAAUAAUUUGAUUUUUCACGUAUAACACGACAAUUUACCUAGCACCAAUUGGUAAAUUAGGAUCAUACAAUUUGAAAAAAAAAAUUUAUUUGAAAAUUUCUCCCAUCAAUGCCCAUGAACGUUAAAUCAAUUUGAAAUUUUAAUUCUUAUCGAAUUUAAAACAAUCAUUAAUUAGCCAAAUUGCAAGAAAAAUAAGUAAGAAAAAAGAAUUAAAAUAAUAAUAAAAGGAGAGUAUAAGUGUCUUCGCAAGUGGAGGGAGAUUGAUAGAAUUUUGCUCACAUAGGUUGCUACUUUUUUUGUGGGACCCACUGUUUUUUGGGGCUAGAUGUAGCCUAAUUUUAUGCUACCCAAGAAAGGAAAUUGCCAACCCCAGUGGUGGAUUUAGCCCCAUUUUCCGGCUCAUUGGAGAUGAAAUUUAUCGCUAAGGCUGGAAAUGUAGUAGCCUCAUGGAGGAUAAAGCCCCCGGGGAUGCUCUAACACAAUUGAAGAGCCGUCCAGUCCAACCCUUAUUACAAUUUGUACUUAUUAUGUAAACCUUAUGUGCAGACUGCAGAUCGACUUUGUGUGCUGCCAAACAUUUUAACUAUGUAAAACAAAUGACGAUUUCAGGGUUUUCUGAUCAUGCUUAAGUCAUUUUCCUUGUGUCUAAUUUCGUAACAUGAUUUUUUAACCCUGUUUAUCUGUUUUGUUAUUUGUGGUUUUAUAAACGAAUUUCCUGUGGAAUUCCAAUUGACACUAUAAAUUAUGCUAAUUCCUCCUUUUUUAUGCAGAUUAAAAGAGAAAGGGUUCUGCUUCUAGGAGGCUUGGAUUCAAAGCUCUCUAAGGAUCUUCCCUCUGAUCUUCAAAAGCUUCGAUGCAAGGUAAUUCGCUGAAUAUGUUUAUAAUUUAUUUUUGUAUAUGCAAGCUGACUUUGUUUCAUUACAGAAUUGGAACAAGGUCCUAUAGACAGCUGACUGUAAUCUCUUCCUUAUUUGACUUCAGGUUGCUUUUCAUGCAUUGAGGUUUGCUCCUCCAAUUUUGGGAAUUGGUAACAAGCUUGCAGAGAGGGUGCGCAAUAAGGGUCCAUACCUUGCGCUUCAUUUAAGAAUGGAGAAGGACGUAUGGGUGAGGACCGGUUGUCUUCCUGGUUUGAGUCCUGAAUAUGAUGAGAUAGUUUACAAUGAGAGGAUACAGCGGCCAGAGCUCCUAACUGGAAGAUCAAACAUGACUUACCAUGAAAGAAAACUUGCAGGUCACUGCCCCUUGAAAGCCUUGGAGGUGACCAGGUAUGGUAGUCACAUUUAGGCAUUUUAAUUAAACCAAAUAGGUUGCUUUUUUCUUUUCUUUUUUUUUUUUUUUUUUUUUUUUGUAUUUAUUGUAUGUAGCAGAGAGUUUUCUGACAAACCAAAUCUUGUGUUUUAGGUUGCUUAAAGCUCUUGGAGCUCCAAAAAGUGCAAGAAUAUAUUGGGCUGGCGGGCAGCCUUUUGGUGGAAAAGAAGCCUUACUACCGUUAAUCGAAGAAUUUCCCCAUUUUUACAAUAAGGAAGAUCUUGCUUUGCCUGGUGAACUAGAACCUUUUGCAAACAGAGCUUCUGUCAUGGCUGCCAUUGAUUAUAUAGUUUCCGAGAAUAGUGAUGUCUUCAUGCCUUCUCAUGGGGGAAAUAUGGGCCGUAUUAUGCAGGUAUAAUUAUUUGUUUUUGUUUUAGUAAAUGUAUAUACUAUAUGCUAGAUCAAACAAUUAGCAAAUAUGAUCAAAAUAAAUCACGUUAACCGGUAAUGCUUAGAUAAAUGCACGAAAUGCUCAAAAUAAAUCGAGUGAAACAAAUGAAAUGCUUAGAUAAGUGCACAACUGAUCUGAAAUAUGAGCGAUGUGUCAUUGAGGCCUUUCCAAUUUGGAGCAACAAAAAGAAAUGUGUUGAGAAAAUAUGCAUGGAAGACGAACAAUAUGAAAUUAUCGUACCUAUGCUUUUCUAAUUUGAUGGAGACUUCACUUACACCAAGUUUUGUUUUCUCCUUCAGGGACAACGUGCCUAUGCUGGCCACAAGAAGUAUAUAACCCCAGACAAGAGACAUAUGCUUCCGUACUUUCUGAACUCUUCUCUCCCUGAAGCAGAGUUCAAUAGGAUCAUAAAGGAAUUGCACAGAGAUUCCUUAGGACAGCCAGACCUCAGGAGUAGUAGAGUUGGAAAAGAUGUCACAAAGUACCCCAUUCCGGAGUGCAUGUGCAAUGAUACUAAUACUCAUUCGUACAUGUGAGUCAAUGCUGAAGAUUUCGAGCACAAUGCUAACUCUGCAAUGGACCACCUAAUCGAAAAAUUUGAAUUUCUCAGCAAAUCCCUUGAAUUUGAGCCUUCUGAAAAGUGGUUUGUUCUCCAGUGCAAUGAUGGUUCUUUGGAUGGACGGUGAUUUUAAGAGCAAAACCGCAGCAUCACACUCUCAUUUUGUGAGUUUGCUCACAUUGUUUCUUCUACACUCCUUCCUUGGUGUACAAAUUCAAGUGAGGCAAGACAAAUGUCUGCUUAUAAGACAACAUCGUAUAAGGUUCUGUGGAGAGAAACUCUGAAGCUUCACUGUCACCUGGAUUCACUUCCGGACUUUCAUGAGCAACUCAGCAGAAGGCGAAGGUCCCCUAAUUCUUUAAUUCUUUUGUAGGAAGAAUUCUUUUUAGGAUAGAUUUUCCACAUUUUGGUUCAUUCAUUUAUUGUACCACGUCGAUGUAUAAUAUAGACAUACGUGUAUAUAAGCAUACUUCAAGUAAUAAGCUAUAUAUCUGUUUCACAAGCUCACAUCAUGUUGCUGUUGACAUAUUUUCCGGCUCUGCAUACGGAAGUUGCAGCAGCGUCAGUUAGCGCUGAAAUUUGUAACUUUCAUGUAAUGAUCUCUGUACUUUGAAACAAAUAAACAAGUAAUACUCUGGACCUUAACCUUUCCCAUUAGAGAUUUGAUAUUACUUGUUCCAAUCCGCAAAUUAUCUGAUGUUACUAGUUCGAGUUGGGUGGAAUCAUGGAACAGUUUUCAUCAGAACUUUAAGCACCCCAUAUUAUUGAUUUAUUAAGGGCCAAAUAGAAUACAUAAAGAGUUUUUACAACAUCAACCUAAAAUCUAGACAGAGAUGCUGUUUGGAACACCGAUUCCUCAUCAUCAAAUUUAGAUGGAGAUGCUGUUUGGAACUCCCAUUCCUGUGACACCGUGGGUUGAGAAUGGCUUCAAAAGCUCAUAUGGAACAACGCCUGCUCCAACUCUGUUUUUCAGUUUCAAAUUUUUAUUUCUCUCAUCAAUAAUUCCUUCUAGCCUCUUCAAAUUGCCACUGAAUUUCUCAUAUGCUGCCUUUAUAACAGGAUUCUCAGCCCAAGCUGACUUUAGACUCUCACCAAUAUACUCCUCAUCGGGUGAAUGAUUCGAUAGUAAAUCUAACACGGCCAUCACUUUUGUUGCUUGAAUCUUUGAGGGGAAGCACAACAGCAGAGCCAUUUCUGGGUUCUCCAUGAACUUCUGGAGAAAUUCAGAUGAAUCUUCAGUUGGCAUGUUGGUUCGAGCAAUUGUAGGGCGGUUAGGGAAAUAUCCACCAUACAUGUACUGACCAAAGUUCACGGCUACAUGAUGACCAGCGGUUACCCAAAUGAUAGUAGUCAAAGUGUGAAUCAGACUUUCCGGAGUUUUCAAAACAGGCCACCAUGGCUCAUCUUUCUUGUCUGCAUGACCUUUGGUUCUAACUUCUGUCCACCAACCUUGAAGCUCCGUAUCAGACUCAAUAAGAUUUGGGUCUGGAUAGUAGUGGUUCACAUAAGCACUCACCCACUCCUUAAUGGCAUCCCACAGAAUGAGACCAUCAUUUGCAAAUGGGUAGUCUUCAAUUGUUAGCUUCAAGCCAUGCUCAGCUGUAGGAUCCUCAACUGCCAUUCCCCUGAAAUCCAAUCAACCAAAUAUGAACAAGCAAUUCAAAUUCCGUGGGGUUUUCAGUGAAGUUUUCUUUGUAAAAAUCGAAAAUCUUCUUUGUACAAAGUUUCCUGCAUCAAAUAGUUUGGAUUAGUCUUAUGCUAGUUUUAUCAAGUAAAAUACCUUCUAAUGAGAUCUUCUGGCAAAGCUUCCAUGUCAAAUCUCCAAAGCUGGUCGUAAGCAACAGAACUGAACUCCGUGGAGUACUUUCCAAGUGAAAAGCUGCUCUCAAUGAUUCCACCUGCAUUGAUGAGGGUUUCUCGAGCCAGAGCAUUGAUUGCCAUUGUAUACCGGAAAUGAGGGUGCAGAAGUCUGUAGAUGGGAUGCAUUGCGCUUAAUUGUCGAUUAGCUGCAAUUAUGUAUGGCUCUGUACUGCAAUGAGUCCUCAGCCUGUGAAAAUAUAAAAGUACAAACAAGUUAUUAUCCAUGACCUAGUCUCAUAGUUCUCAAUUGCCACAGCUACAAUAACCGAAGUUACACACUUGAGCAGGAGGCAUGAUGUGAAGUUCCACAUUCGUGGUUUCCUAAUUACCACAGCUUAAAUGCCAUUUACACGACUAAUUUGGUAGCUCAAUGCCAAUAUAAAAAGGGAUUUGAGCCAUCUUGGGUACGCGUUUCUUACCAGUGCACGACAAGCUGAUGAUAGGCAGAGUCAUGAGCAAGAACGUGGACCUUAGCAAGAAUCCACAGCCAAUGACCGGUGGCAUCCCAGGUUGGAGUAAAGACUUGCUUCCAUUGUGGCUUGUUACCAACAGGCGGUCGAGUGAGUUCAAUGGCAAUAGGCCUCAGUGUCCCAUCUUCAGUGAGGAAGAAUAGUGUACGAGAACCAUACAGUGUGGUACCUUCAAUCUCUCUUACUUUGUUCACGUAAGGCAUGAGCAGGUCAUGGUAAUCCAAAAUAAACAUCUUUUUUCCUUCCAAGGCCUACAUUUCAUGUUCAAGCAAUUUUCUUUUACUUAAAGCAUAACCCGGUUGCAAGUCAAAGAGGUUGGGGUGUGUUUAUUAUACCUCAUUGACAGUCAUACAACCUUUGAUCGCCUUCUCAACCACUUCUGUUGUGAUCAAUGAUUCAGGGGGGCCAUAAAUCUCGGGGUCAAGUUUACUUUUCAAUGGCCAUUCCUGCAUCAGGAAAUUACAGAAUUUAUUGCCACUAGAGGAAAAAAUAGAGUUUAACCAGCUAAAACAAGAUACGCUUAUCACUCUUUAAUUACUUGAUCAACAAGGAAGAUGGCGACCUCGUGUGAUAAAUGGAAUAUACAAAUUUGAAUUUCUUGAUUGAAGUGAAGGAGUUCUACAACUUCUACUUGUAUCAGCAAAAUAAUAAAGAAAGCAUACCGUCACUAGCUCAAUACUAUAUGGAUUAAGACCAGCUAGAGUUUGCCUGGAAAAUGCAUCGUCUCUAAACCAAGCAAAUUUAUCACCUGCAAUAGAAGACAAGUGAUAUACAGGGUGAAGCCAACAAUUUCGUGGUCUGUUUUCCUCAAGAGGGAAUCAUCAUUUAGAAAUUUGAGGGAGGGAGGCUUACGGUCAAUUAUUUCAGGGGUCUUAAAGUCCAGAAGUUUGUUUUCGCCACCUGUAAUAGCCUUGACUACCCAUGGGAUAGUCUUGCCUAGCGCUUUCCAGAAUGUCUUGGAAGACUCACCAGCCUUUGGCUUAGCUAACGUGACUCCUUCGUUAAACAGUGAAUCUAUGGCUGUGAAGUCUGUAAAUUCUGGGGCUGGAUCAAGAACUCCUGCUGCCUCGAGCGAAGGGAUCAACAUAUGUAGCACAGAAUUCAGGGUCUUUGUCAAAAAUGUCAGCUGUUUCACCUCCGAAAACGCUUCAUCUCUUGGUACAUACACACUGCUGAUUCUUUGUUUUCUUGGUACAUACUCACUGCUGCUUCUUUGUUCUGACAAAGGAUCUGCAAUAUUGGUAGAAAAUAUAUGAUACAAAAAUCACAUUGCUCUCAUAGUUUCUCAGUCAUACAAUUUCCCACAUCCGAAAUUAGCAUGUAAUAAAAGAAAAUGGUUCAUAGCUUGAAUCAUUGUCCUCAACAUUAAGUUCUUGAAGCACAUGAGUUUCCAUUUCAAAAGGCAUAAACACAAAUUUAUUUUUGUACAUGUGUGUUAUGAGACACGAACCAAAACAAACUUUUAGUUUUCAGCGUCUAGAACACUGUUUUACUUUCAUAUAUAUGGGAGCUAAUUGGCUGGUAAGGGUUUCUACACUCUUUUUCGUAUAUCUCUCUUGACGUGACUUCAUAUUCCAAGUGAGAUAGAAAGAAGAGGUUGAGGGAUUAGUAUGCAAUUAGUUGGUUAUAUAAUUACCCUUUUCAGUGCGUGGUCUUCCAGUUCUGCAGCGCCUCGGGUACGGGUGAUCUUUUCCGCCAAGGACAGGCCUAGCCAGUUCAUCAUCGUGGUCCGGAUCGCCAAGGUCGUCAUAAGUAUCAUAAUCGUAGAUCCUAUCAGAUGUUUUUCUUUGGCCCAACCCAUCUCCUCGCAAAGUCUGCAGCUCAGAUUCUCUUAGCUUCUUCAACCCACUUGGCGUCUCUGAUGGUAUGUACGACUGCUUCGAAUCAUUACAUGUUCACACAAAUUAACACAUCAACUAAUUUUGUGGAAGACUAAGUCAGCCAAAACCAGUAAAAACAAAUGGUAAUUUCAAUGUUCUAAAAGACGCUUGACGCUAGACGGGCAUCGGGCUGGGGCCAAGUGCCUAGGCAACUAGACAUGAUUUAGGCACGGGUCUACGCACUAAGCGGAUUUAAGUAAAUUUAUAAUAUAUUGUAUAAAUAAGUGCCUAUAUAUACUUGAAAGAACACCUAAUUGUAAUGACAUACAUUAAUUACAAAAAAAAAAAAGACAUAUAGAUUGUAUGGUAUUAGAAAAUAUUGAAAAACAAGUUUCUUACAUUUUAUUGCCAAAAUAGAACACAAAAAGAAAGUUAUUCAUUUUGUUUCUUAGUGAGGGUCAUACAUAGGCAAGUGCCUAGGGACUAAUUGGGGCGGUGACUAGCUAGCGCCUAGGUGGGGUCUAGGUAGGGAUUUUUAGAGAAGUGGUAAUCUUAAGAAAGAAGAUAAGAAAGUGAUCACUUUUUCCUUCUUGAACAAAGCAUUAUUGAUUAAAAAAAAACUUCAACAGUACAUCAACGAUGUAUACAGAACAUAAAUAUUAACUGCACUGCAAAAUUGGAAUAGUAUAGCCUUCUAAAAGGCUAAAUUAAAGUGCAGGGGAGUGCCAAAAUUUAUCAUUAGUUAUAAUCCACAUCUUCAUCCAAGUCUUAAAAGCUUCCACAUCACUAUUAAUCAAGACCAUCAGAUGUUAUAAGAUCUGAUGGCUAAAAAAAAUGUCAAAAUAUUUAUCCAUUGAGCCUAAUCUCCCACACACACAUACAUGUAUAAUAAUGAGAAAGCAAGGAAAAUUUAUAAGGAUCUAAAAUAGAGGACCAAAGCAAGGAAAAUUUAUAAGGAUCUAAAAUAGAGGACCUUGUUGGUGAAAAAAACUCUCUUCAGAGAAUGAACCCAGGAAUUGCAGGGAAUAUUAACAGUGCCGUUCGGGAAGCCAUCGAGGUCGAUGCUCUUGAUGAAGAUCUCCUCGUUGUGUUCAUUCUCUAUCUGAACAGCUCCAACGUCUCCAAACCCUGCUGGGAUGGUGAAAGUAGCCUCAUACACCACCUCGUCGUCUUUGUGGCUCACAUUGUACGCAUACCCCUCUGUUUCCUUCUCCAACCCCGUCUCUACAAAGCCCAAUUCAAAAAUAUGUAGUGAAUAAAUUAAUCCGUAUUUGUAAAAUUUAAAUUGCUAUUUGUUCAUACAAUUGUAAAAUCAUAUGCUAUAUGAAGAAAUUAAGUUGAGGUCCCAUUAAUGUGAUAAAAAUCCAACAUAAAACCCAUUAAUGUGAAGAAUUGAGGUUCUGCUAUGUAAGGUCUCUCAUCUCAUCAAUGUAGGAUUCAUGUUUGCAAAAAACAAUAUUGCGAAAAAUAGUGGGCAAGUGGUGAAUGGUUCGGAUGGAUAUGGCAUUCCUCUUUAAACUAUCAGAUUCAAACCUUUCCCCCUUCUUAUGGUGUAGAUCUAGAUCCUGUUGUUCGUCCACAAAAACUUUCUAAGGUUUUGGAAAAUACACUCAACACCUCCUAAGGUACCAAAUUAUUUUCACAAAGCCCCUAAACCCUUGAUUUCCAUCCAAAAAUGAUGAUACCAUCAUAAAUUUUCUUCAAAUGACAAAUACAAGCUCAAAGAUUAAAUUCACAUUCAUCCCUGAGUUUGUGUUACACACACAUUCCGUAAGGCUUCAAAUUGUUUUCACAAAAUCCCUUCCGUUAAUUUUCCAUCAAAAAACAAAUUUAACCUGAAAGAUUAAAUUAGAUAUACAUCCUCGAGAUCUAUUUUGUAUUUUCACAUUUCACGUAACCUCUUUGUGGAGCCAAAAAUAAUCACAAGGCGACACGUGAUUUUUUUGGUAAAAAGGACAAAGUUAUCCCUGAGACACACCGGUUGUCUUACGCGCGAGCAGUGGACAAUCAUUCUUUAAUCAAGCCAAGAGUGUCCAAAAAAGGUAACCAAUUCCAAAUUAUCUCAUCCAUCCUCAUCUUAGGUAAUUACUUCAUAACCUACAAAUGAUUCCAUAUAAUGGAUUAAUUCCUAAUUAAUCUAUGAAUCACCAAUUAAAUCACCCAUUUUCACACAAAAAACCUCUAAGGGCGGGCCACCUCCAUUCCCUAUACAUAUGACUCUAUUUUCUCUAAAAAGCUAAGUUCCACACUCUUGCAAAAACUCCAAAAACUCUCUAAACACUUUUUCUCUCUAAAUUCUAACUUUGGCAUCGGAGGUUCUUCGGCCAAAGCCCCCUAUUCAUCGUCGGCGCGUGAGGCUCUUGGCCUUAACCCUAAGGUGUUAAUUGUUUUGUAGGUGCAAUUUUGUCCAAGAAGAAGAAGGAAUAAAUUUGCAUCCACACUCUUCGUACGAAAUAAAAAAGAAUCAUGAUAAAAUGUAACAUUUUUAACGUAAAAAUUAUUCAUUUUUUAUUUAUAAUGUACCCAUAUUUUAUGAUAAAAUUUAAUUAUAUUUAAAUUUAAAACGUACCUAUAUAUUUAAAAAUAAAAAUAAAACAGUUUAAUUUGAAAAAAAAAUCUGAUCAUAUUUCUCACAAUUCAAUUUGAAGAGAAAAAAAUAAAAAAUUCCUAUUUGGUAUUAAUCUUUGCAUGAUUUUGGGAAGGAUUUGAUAAGUGUUGUUAGUAAAUUUCUUAAUUAAUACCGAAAUAAUAUUUUUGUCCUUCAAUUAAAGUAUUCAAAUUAAUAAACUUUAAAUCUAAGAUUUUGGUCAAUUAGAAGCCGGAACCAAAGAUUUUCCCACUAAAAAAAAGAAAAAAAAAAUGAAACCAACAAAAGAGUUGGUAAAAUGAGCAGCCCUAAUGAAAAUAGUUAUUUGUGUUUGUGCGCGCGCGCACACACACAUAUAUGAAAUCUUUAAGGGAAGGGAUCUCUAUUUUUUUUUAUAAUAAAAAUGGGGAUUAGUUUACACACACACACACAAAUAUAUAUGAAAUCUUUAAGGGAAUGGAUCUUUAUUUUAUUUUUUUAUAAAAAUGAGGAUUAGUUGUAUGGUCCACACUACAUCGAACUUUAACGAUCCAAACUUUCUAUUUUUCAAGUUGCACCUCAUGAUAGAUCAUCCUUACAAAAUAUUAGCCAAAUCGGAAAUGUUUAAGACAUCUAGUUGGGUUCAAAGAAAUUAACGAAUACUUUGUUAUAUAAGAAACUAUGAAAUUUUAUCUUGAUAAUUAAAUAGGCAAAUGGUUUCAGAUUGAAUUGAAUUUUUGCAAGGAUGAUCUAUGAAUCGAGACUUACAAAAUAGACUGUUCGGAUCGUUGAAGUUCGAUGUGGAGUGAGCCCAACACUUAAUCCCCAUUUUUUGAAAAAAAAAAUGGGAAUCCCUUUGCAUAAAAGGGCCUGAUAUAUGUGUGUGUAAUAUAUAGUCUCCUACCAUGAAGGGAUCCCACAUAGAGAUUCUUUGUGGAUUCACUUCACAUCGUAUUCGAAUGAUCAAACUAUCAAUCUUUUAGGUAUUCCUUCAAAGAUUAUCUCUAUGAAAUACCACUUUAAUAUGAAACCAUUUGACCAUUGGAUUAAAUGGUCAAAUGAGUGUUUUUUUUUAAAAACCGUACACGUCUAUGUUCUUCACUACAAAUUGAUACCUUAAUGAUUUUGGAUUUGUCUAAUUUUGUGCAAGAAUGAUAUAUAAUGAUGAACUGAAAUAUAGAUAAUUUGAAUCAUUGAAAAAAAGUUAUGAAAUGAGCACCACAAAGUGUCCCUCUUCCUCAAAUAAUUUUAUUUGAGGCAUCCUUCAACUGGAGGGGGUUAUAUAAAUAUGGAAAGUAAUUUUCACACAUCAUUUUUAGCUUCUUACACAGCCCUAUUAUGUAAUUCUAAUAGUAGAUUCUGUUUGAUUUAUUCAAUUCAAUUAACAUAAGGAACAAUGUGUUAGAAGCUAAAACUGAUAUGUUAAAAUCACUUGUAUAGACCUUGAAACCAAUUGAUUAUCCAAGUACAGAAAGAGUCCGAAUAUAGAUUUGAAAGGGGAUUUCUGUCCAUUGAAUCAGGUGUCUGAUUAGAGUUGAUUUCCAAUUGGUUUCUUUAUAUAGAAAAAAAAACAAGAAAGGCUGUUUUGAAUAACCUUGGGGCAAAUCGUUUGUUAUUUUCGUGAAAAAAAAAUAAAACUCGAACGAAUAAUGAACAACAAAUAUAAUAGAAAAAAAAACUCACUUGUAUCAAACAAAAAAAACUCUCAACUCUAAAAAUAUUUGUGGAUGUAAAGAUAUAAAUUUAAGAUAAUUAUUAACUACGGUCAAACUGGCUGAGGCUGUAAGACAACUAAUGGGAAAUGUUAUAUAUAUAUUCUGUAUGCUUAAAGUACUGCUUGCUUACUGGGGUCAAGCUCGGCGCCAACAAGCUCCAAAAGCAAGGUUUUUCGAAGCAAGUCGAUAUUGUCAUCGGGGGGACGAUUCAAGCGUAUGCUGGACCCUCCAGCUGUUACCGUCACCGUCACCAAAGCCUUUACCGUAAACGCCUGAUUCUCCGUUGAAGUAACGGUGGACACUGCUGCAGGUGAUGAUUUGAGCUCACCAGAAGUGGCACGGAUCACCAAGGAGGAGGAUUUUUUCUUCUUACGAUUUUGAUGGACAUGGUGGCGCGGAACGAUGCUGAUCAGGGAGGGGCUACCAUCCUUAAUCAGAUGAUUAGGGUUAAUGGACGAUUUUGGUAAGAGAGAGAAGGAUGGAGCAUAAAGCUGAGAAGUCAUCAUCUCACCUCAGAGUUGGAUUAAUAUGCUUUCUAAUUUGGUAUAAUUGUUUUUGAAAGCUUCUAAUUUGCUAGAAUAGUUUUGCAAGUUCAUGCAUUUAUAGAGAGACUAGCCUUCAUGCACGCGCUCACGCACGUGCAGAAGACAUUUUUUGAAUCACGGCAUGUUAUGCGUGAUUUACACGUUUUAAAUACAUUUAUAUGUGUAAAUUGACAAAAGGAAAGUCAAAUAUUUGAAGUAAAUGAAUAAUCUUAGAUCAAAUAUCGUUUGUUAAAAAAAACAAUCAUUUGACAACUAAUUUAAUCACAUUAUUAUCCGCGUGGGAAAGAUCUUUUUAUAACCAGUGAAUCACAUUAUUAUUAUCCGCGUGGAAAAUACUUUUUUUAUAACCGGCAUUACACACCUCUUAAGAUGUUUUGAACGUAUUUAAAAAUAGAGAAAAUAAUAUUUCAUGAACAUCUGAUUGAAUCACAUUAUUGCUAGCCUAUUGUAAGGUACUAAUUUAAAAAAAAAACUGUACUAAUUUAUCACCGGUGCUACGUGCCUCUUAAGAUGUUUUGAACAAAGCAUUUAUGAUUUUCUUUAUUUUUUAUUAUAUUUUUUCCCCUUCACGUGGGCACCAUCAACUUUCACUCAUCCUUCUAUUUUUUAUAUUUUUUUUCUCCCUCCCCACUUAUUAUUUAUAUUAUAAUACUAUAUUUUAUGAUGAUCAAAUUACCAAAUUACCCUUGCAUUAUUUGGUAUAUUAUUGGCCGAAUUUGGUUGACAAACAAGUGAGAUAUGGAGUUCCAAAGUUUGCCCAGAAAAUCUGCAAGAUCUGCAGAAUCAGGCGAAAUUUUGUUAAGGUCCGCCACUUGAAUAUUAUAGCAAUCGACGAUCCGACUGUUGGAUUGUCACUAAACUUUAAUACAUUAUAGUACGUAAUAUUUGAGGACCAUAGAAACUUACGGAUCGGGAAUCCGACGUAUGGAUCUUCCCGAAUUAGAUUUGUAAGUUUAUAAAAUAAAACGUUAACAGCCACUUGAAUUUACAAUUGGCGGAGAUGCAACUGUUGGAUCGUAAUGAAACUUUAGGAUGUUGUUCUAGAAGCAUAAUUUGGAUCUUUGGAAGUUACGGAUCGGAAAUCCAAGAGCGAAUCUUCCGAAUCGAGUUAUGUAGGGUUGUGGACCUUACCGUCGACCUCUGACCGAAGGUUGACUUCUGGAGUCAAUGAGUUUCAAAUCAUUCUAGAACAUCCUUGGAUGAUGUGUUUUAUGUCAAUUACGUGUUCUAUCAGUAAGAAUUCUGAGACGUGAUUUGAUAAUUGUUCUAGGCGACGAUCGUCCGAGACAUCUCGAUAUUCGUGUUAGGGAGUGUAGCGCAGACCUUAGGUGAGUGGGCUUUUUGGUUUUCUAUAUAUACGUAUAUACGCUUUACAUUUUCCCAGAAAUUGUUUUAAAUGGAUCUACGUUUUAAAUGCCAUAUCAAAUGCAUCACAUUUUAAUUUAUACAUUGGUACAGAUAUGCAUAAUGUUGCAUGACGCUGCGGAUGCUUAGGUAAGUUUCAGGUGAGUAUAUGUUAAUGAUAGAGAUUGCAGUGUAUAUGAUUGUGAUUAAAUACAUUUAGUACUCAUUAUCCUUCACCCCGGUGUUAGUGCUCCACCCGAGGUUAGGGCCUAGCCUUCACGUGAUCGUUUACCUCCCGCACCAUACGCUCACCUUGGAUCCAAGACAGGUGCUAGCCUGUCGUACAGACCACAUUAGGUGGUUCCGACUCGUAGGUGACUUGUG
rnacentral:lncRNA from 1 species